UGUUUGGUCUCCAUGCAGCCUUAUUUCAGAUAAUCAGGACGGCGACUAGCGGCGGGAUGGCUUGAGCUGAGCUAAAUUCAGAAGCGUGCCCAUCCAUGUGUUCGGGAGCUGGGAGGCAGUACCUGUAUUCUGUAGCAAACUUGUUCCUGGAUGAUGUCAUGUAGUGUGCGAAUCUCUGCGUUUCUUUUCUUUUGUUUGGGGUAUCAAAGAGUUUAAACUUGAACUGAUGUAAGUUUAAAGAUAUGAGAAAACUUUAAAUAUGUAGAAGAGUAGCUAUAAUUCCUCCGUCGGAUGAUUUCUCUAUCUGCAUGGAUAUGGCUUUGGUGCCUGUUUGAAUCGGUCCUUGCCCAAUGCGUCUGCAUGGCCAUGUGCCUGGAUGACGGUUUCCAUGGAUCUCAAGCCCAUCACGAGCUGGUGAUUCAAUCUGCAGUUGGUCGCAUUGUGCUGAGAGCCUGAGACCGGAAAUUAUCAAUUUCUCACAGAGCAACCGUUGACAUUGACCAUCAUGUUUAAGAAUGUUAACACUAGUCAGGCAUAUUCCCAUUAGCCGAAAGAACCUAAUCACUUCAAUUCGCAUUUUGAUGCGCACUAAGAAAUUUUAGUAUCUACAGCAAAAGAUCUUCAUGGCCAAAAUAAAAAUAAAAAUGAAAAUGUCAUAAAGCAGUGGUCGGUUAGUGAGGAUUCAAACCAUAUCGUCAUUAAGGUGGGAUAUGGUUGCUUGGCCAACCACCUUGACGAAAGACUUUUCACCACAAAAGUUAGUACAAUCAAUGACGAUACUGGAACAAAUAUCAAUUCAUUUGUUUUUGGUAUCACCUUAAUCAUUUUUUUUACAGUAACCCUUGCUACCACUCUAUGACACGUCAUUUUCUCACAAUAUGAUUCCGCCUGCUGUUGAAGUUGCAUUAAUUGAUUAUAUUAUAAAUAUCAGUGAUGAUUCUUCUCCUGAUAGUGACAACAAAGAUGACCAUGACACUCUACAACACUACUGCAAUAAUUAUGAAAGAUCCGCAAAGACAGAUGUGUGAAGCCGAUGACGAACAAUUUCGAAAAGUAUAGAGCUUUUUUUUUUAGAGUGAGUAGUAUUGCAUUGCAUGGGAAGAGAUAAAACAAAAGGACAAAAGUGUGUUCAUGGUCAUCGAAGUUGCUUGAAAGGAUUAUGUGUUGCUGCACAUAUAUUGUUUGGUGAGAAGUGUAUCCCAACAGGCUCGGUGAUCGCUGGGUUGCCGCCGAACCCCUUGCUCAGCUCGCUGCUCCUGUUUGGUGAGAGAAGAUCGCCGUGUCCUGUCUCCUGGUCCUAGAGAAGGCGUUGUUGCUCUGCUUGCCGAAUUCCAUCCCCGAGACCCUGACCUGCAGAGGCACAAAGAACAGGACAGUUCUGCUCUUCAUUAGUGGCUAGUUCACUUUACUAUUUUCAAGACUGCGAUAUUAUCCAAAGUGGAAUACAACUGUAAUAUCACUCAAAAUUGAGUGGUAUUAAUUAUGACCAUUUUUGCAAAAAAUUUAAAACUUUUUGUUUGAAUGCGUGCAUCAUCUAAAUACAUGGUUAAACUUAAUGUCAACCCUCAUUUCUUUCCCCUAAAUUCAAAAGCUAGUAAUUAAAAUUGUGCAUUCAAAUUUAAAACAUACUUGCACGAGUCAUUUGGAUUUUAUUUGGUUUAAUUUGGAUUUCAAAGGUGAGUUUGUAUUUUUGGAUCUAAUCCAAAAUAUAAACUAAAUCUAGUAUGUAAAUAACAUAAUAAAAAUUUAAUGUGACUAACUCUAACUUUGCACACGAGCUAGCCACAAACCCAACCAGCUCUCUCUUUCUUUUCUUCUUGGACCAGUAGUUAUCCUGGACUGCCAGCUUUGUUAAUCACGUUUAGCAGAAUUUUUUUAUUUUUAUAUAUUUUUUGAUUUUGCAAAAAUAUAUAGUCGAAUAAAAAAUUAGUAUGGGCUUAUACCGCCGGCUGAAACAGCUGUAUGGGCCUUACUGCCGUUUCAACUGGAGGUAGGGGCCUUACCGCCGUAAGGCGAUACCACUCACGAGUCACCCACUGGAUUAACUCCGCGCGGCACCAGAGGCACCCACUGGAUUAACUCCGCGCGGCACCUGAGGAAGCUCCGCCGUUUGAACUGGCGGUAAGGGCCUUACCACCAGUUCAAACGGUGGGGCUCGCCCACUAUAAAAUGCGGCCGCGCCCCUCCCCCUCCCCCCGUACCAGACCUGCGCCAGAGAAAGAAAGAGGAAAGGAAAGAAGGGAAGAAAAAAAAGGAGAGGAGAGGAGGAGGAGGGAAGAAAGGAGGAGGAGGAGGGAAGAAGGGGGGAAGGAAAUUCUUCCGUCGUUCUCAGGUAAAUUUUUUUAAUCUCGUAGUUUAGAUAGUAUAGUGUAGUGACUAGAUCUAGAUUUAGAAAUAUUAGUGGAUCUAAGAUUUAGAAAUAGAUUCAUUAGAUAGUAUAGUGUAGUGACUAGAUCUAGAUUUAGAAAUAUUAGUGGAUCUAAGAUUUAGAAAUAGCUAGUGAAUCUGAGACUUAGAAACAUUUAGCUGAAUUUAGAUAUAGCAAAAUGUAGCUUAGUUAGUACAAUAGAUUUAGCUUAGACAGUAAAAUAGAUUUAGCUUCGGUGGUAUAGUAGAUUUAUCUUAGGUGGUAUAGUAGAUUUAGCUUAGAUCAUAGUAAAUUUAAGAAAUCUUAGUGGAUCUGAGAUUUAGAAAUAUCUAGUGGAUCUGAGAUUUAUUUGUCGUGUAUAUUAGUUCUGAUACAUGCCUAUGAUAAAUUUAGUUAGUAAGCUUGGUUUAGUGUUACAUAGUUGUUUUUUUAUGAAUUGAAGUCGUCAUUAUAGUUAACUGAUAUAUAUUGCUGAGAUUAAUUUGGACUGCCUGUUUCAUGUAUGUUGGCAGGCAUGUCGGAUAGUUUAAAUUUUCAAGUGUUCUACGGGCCGGGGGAGGUUAGAUAUGGUUCAGAAGGGGUAGAUUUGAGUGGAUUUCCCUAUUUCACCAAGUGUGUUCGAAGAGCAAGAGAGAGAACUUGAGGGGGCAUUUGCAGGUGACUUUGUAGGGAUUUUGGUGUUGAUAGAGAUUAAGUGGAUGUGUCUGUGAGGGUUGUAGUCAAAAGACGGCCGGACAUAAAUUUUUGGGAGUUGCUUCCGCUUGAAGGAACUCCAAGCUACCGGGCUUAUAUAAAUGGUUGCACGAGAAAAGAUUUACCAAUCAUAUGGUAUGUUCAACUGUUCAUGAAGGGUGGAUCUAGCAGUCAUAUUGAAGAAGAAGUAGGAGGUGAUGAAGUUGAAGCGGAAGAAGAUGUGCAGAGUACUGAGGGUGGAAACAAAAAACUUGAUUACGAUGAACAAGAAGGGGGAGAUGCAGAGAAUGAUGUUGCAUCCCGCGCACCAAAUGGGGAGGCUGAUGAGGGGGAAGAAAUUCCUAAGUUAGUAGAGCAGCUGGAGAUGGAAGGAGAGGAGGCUAAUGGUGCCGUGGAUGAUGACUGGUCCGAAGAGGAAGAUGCUUAUCCUGUACCGUGAAAUUGGUCAAAUUAUGACCAUUCCGCCCUACAGGUCAAUAUUGGGGAAAAUAUUCCUUGGGAGUACAGGGAGAAUGAGGUAUGCGUGGGAGCUAUGUACCAAAGUGGGGAUGAAGUGAAGGUGGCUAUUAAGAGGUGGUUCACUUUGUCUUUGCAGCGUCAGUUCAGGGUGGAAAAGAAUAGCCCGAAGGUGUAUGAUGUACGCUGUGUGCGAAAUAAUUGCCCAUUCAGGGUGCAUGCAUACAAGGGGAAAUGGAAGGAUUACUGGGAGGUGACUAGAGUGGUUGAGCACGAAUGCUUGCUGGCUGAAUUGGAAGGAACACACCGCAACCUCAUUGUUGAUUUUGUUGCUCAAUACAUGUAUCCUUAGAUAGUGCAGAAUCCUAGCUUCGAGCCCAAGUCCAUUGUUUGUGCCAUAGAGGAGAAGUUCAAGUACAAGAUCAGCUACAACAAAGCUUACCAGGCGAAGCAGAAGGCACUGAAGAUGAAGUGGGGUACGUUCGAAGUAUCUUUGGACAACCUCCCUGUCCUGUUGCACACCAUUUGCCAGAGAAAUCCUGGAAGCUUCUACGACUUGAAAACCUAUCCAUGUGUUCAGUUUCCAGGCAAACAGGUCCUGCAGCGGUCAUUCCUCGUAUUGGGUCCUUGCAUUCAGGCUUUCCGGCUAUGUCGACCAGUCAUUUGCAUUGAUGGCACAUUUCUAACUGGAAGGUACAAAGGAACAAUAUUGACAGCUAUUGGGUUCGAUGGCAACAAUCAGGUGUUGCCGCUUGGGAUCGUAUUUGUGGAGAAGGAGUCUGGAGAUAGCUGGUAUUGGUUCCUCGAGAGGGUGAAGAACAUGAUUGUGAUGGACGUCGAGGGGGUUUGUCUCAUUCAUGAUCAGUACAAAGGCAUUUUGCAAGCAAUCGAAGACCUACAGAAUGGAAGUCAGGAGCGUUUCAGGGCGUCGAUAUGGCCGGACUUGAAGAGUAGGUGGUGCAUGAGGCAUAUGGGUGUGAACUUUCAUAGGCAAUUCAAGAAUAAGACCCUUAUGAAAUUGUUCAAGCGCCUGUGCAGCCAGAAUCAGGAGAAGAAGUUCAACCUGUUGUGGAAGAAACUAUAGCAGAGGCUGCAUCCAAAUCAAAUGUCUUGCAUGGUUUUGCUGCCGGCAUCAACCAACAGCUGAUGAAGAUCAAAGAUGGGAUUGAUUUGUCUUUCACUUGAUUUGCAUGUACAACGGUUUUCCCCAGUACAUGAGGAUGCCGUGCAGGUGCGAGUCGCCGAGGCCGGUGCUGGCGUGGUUGACGGAAUGGAGCAUGGAAAUGAUGGGGCUGAGGGAUUGGACACCCAAUGGUGCGUUCUCAGCUUCCAACUCGGUGAUCUUUGGCUUGAUCUACACCUCCCGGCCGCAUGCUGCACCUGCUCCAAGCAGUAGAGUCCCUAGCCACGCAUCAAGCUAGAAGGUCGAAGGUGCCGCCGCCGUAGCUCACCAUUGCCAACAAACGCACGAGGACAGGGGUAGCUAGAUCUGUUGUUGAUGAACGCAUGGAGCCGAUUCAGUUUUUGUUUAUGCUAACUUUAGUGCGGCUCGAUGAAGGAGGUCAGCUCGAUCUUCUCGCAGAGAACACACCAGCUUGGCUUAGUUUGGCUAACAUAAUGGAUUGUUAUUGGGGACACGCGUUAGCCAUCUAGGCGAUGUCGCACCAGGCGCGUGGUGAGGUACUCUCGCAUGAGUUUUGGGUGAGUGUGAUUUCUUGACGUGUUUUGGUAAGAGCAAGCCGCGGUCGGUAUAGCGACAGUGCCUAACUUGGGGAGAGGUUCUGGACUCUACGUGUUCCCCGUACCUGUGACAGGUACUUUGUUUUAAACUUAGGAGCAGGUGAUGUACUUGUACAUUGCAGGUGCUUCGAUAUGUUCCUUGUGGAGUUGAGUGCUUGCUCUCGGCCUGUAAGGAUCGAGUUAGUUUAUCACCGGUCACAAUAUCUAUAUAUAUACAUACUAUUCGCUCAUGUUAUGAGCGGGGUUCGGUCCGAAACUAGUGGUGGAUAGCACUUAGCCUGUAAGUGAAUUAGCUGAACAGUUAAGGAGUUCGAGGCGAUGAUCGUCUCUGACCAGACUGUACCCCAGUAGGACCAUGGGUAGGUUUCACAUCUUCGAGAUCUACAACUGGCGACGAUGUGCCCUGCAGUUCAAGAUACUUCCAGACUCAAGGAAAUAGGAGAGUGCUAGCCACCUACUAGGGCUUCGGCCAUUAGGUGGGGUUUGGACGGUCGUACACCGUUUAGGAUCCAACCGAGACAACCUCUAUAGAGUUAUAAACUAUAACUAUAGCCGUGUGCACGGUAUUGGAUAGUGCUGUUGACUACUGCUACUUUCAACUAGACUUAUACUAUUCUUCUACCUCCCCCUUUUGAGAUAGGCUGACGUUUGCCGUUGAGAUGUGAGGGAAGGGAGCUCUCACAUUGCCUAGUCCGUUUGGGUGCUGAAUUCUUGGACGAAGGAUUUGGUGGUUUGUGACAACUUACUUGAUAUAAGGUGUUGACCUCGGUGAUGGUAUUGCUUUAAUGCAUCCUUGAUUGCUGCUACUGCUGCUGCAUAAACCUCUACAGCUAUAUAUAGGAUUAUCCAUGCAUAUAGUAUUAUUCCCCUGUUUCCUUGGUUUGAUGCUAUUCGGAGUUGACAUGGCCUACCCGCUUCUCAGGUAGACUUUGGCUUUUCAGGAUCUGAAUCCCACUAUGACUUCGGCGACGGAUUUGAAGAUUAGGGAUGGCCCUUCGCUUAAGUCGCCUAUGGAGUUGGCGUUCACCAUGCUACAUGUUUCCGCUGCGUAGAUAUUUUACCUUGCAUGAUUCAGUCUUGAUGGAUUUGUACCGGCAUGUGCCAAGCUGAUAUACCAGAUAUUUAUGUUAUCAUUAUUAAGUUGCUACUCUAUUUCUGUGUCGUUAUGAAUUUGUACUAUCUGAGAUAGGGAUUCACACAUGAUAGGCUUCCUGAGACUAUCACGGAGGUGCGUAGGCUUGGAUUCUCAGAAGUGGGAAUUCGGGUCAUUUCAAAAAACUAUGGACGAAACAACUCGUAAAAUGCAAAAUAUCGUUUUGUGAUUCCAGUCACAACAUUUAAUUCAUACAUGAUGUAAAAACAUUUAAGUAUACACGGGAUGGAAUGAAAUGAUCUCUAGCCUCAAUAGAUUUGUGGAAGAGUACUUUACUGUGUUAGAGGCAAUGUGAACCGAGUAUAUCACCAUGUUUGGUCACGCAACGUAUUAUUCACGAAGAAUGAAACUCUCACCGAGAGUGAUCAUAUAAAACCAACAAGUCCAUGCCGCGCCAGUAUAAGAUACGAAAGGCAACAUACACAAAAUAACUUAUUUAUACAAUUAUCUCUUUCAAUGAGUCAACCUUUCUGCUUCUUUCUAUCUCUCUCCUCUCCAAUUAUUGUCUGAUUGUCAUCCCGUGUAGGUUCUUGAUAACACAUGUCUUCUUUUUUCUCUGUCUACUCCAUACGUGCGCAAUUUUCUCCUGUUUGUCAGCUCCAUAUGUAAGUAGGUUAUAACAUAGAUUCUGUGACGAACCCCAUGGCACAUGAGAAAUAUUACUAUUCUUCUUCUUCUCCUCCUCCUAGCUGCUGCUAUUUAUUUUUCCCUUCUACUACGACAAAAAUCCAUCAUUGUGACAAUAAUCGAUCAUCGUAUCGGAUGCGUUCAAUUGGAUGUAGACUCGUAAGUCAUCCGCGCAGAUCGCGCGAGUUUCCAACAACCCGGUUGUCACCAAAAAUCUUCCGCUCACGUACGUAAUCCGUCAAGUCGCUUUCUGGUUAUUAGUGAGCCGUAACCGUGCCAGACUAGUAACAAGCCCACCGCACCCACUGCUGCACUGACCACAGAGUAUAGAUGUAUGGAUCAGUAGAGGACAUAUUAUUGGGGACGGGCUUAUUUAGCUGGGAGCAAGUGUACCUCUCACAAACCUGCCAAAUUAAGAGUCGAUGUGUGUUCAUCUGCAGACAACUCGUCGUUGUCUUGCGUAAAUGCUGCUGCGACGACAACUGAUAUUUUUUGCCUGACAAAUGAAAUACGGCACACGUGCUGCUAGCUCGUACAGGCGGAUUGGCCGCGCGCUACAUCACGAUAGCCCCGAUGGUGUUGUAGGAGAACCCAAGAGCACGGAUGAUGGACAUAACGGUAAUAGACACACUGCCAUUCAUUUCGUGACGACUGCUGCACUACUACGAGCCCGGUAAACGGGGUGGUCAGCUCCGAGGUAAUGUUGCCGUUGGGUACCCUUACCCGUUCCCCAAAUCCACACCCGGUGAAACGGGUAGGUAUAAGGAGUUCCCAUUGACAAAAUGUUAGGAUACGGAUAAACGCGUCACGCCCACCACCACGUAUAGCUCGGCAGCUCAAACGCCACAUCCAAACCCACCACCAUGUCCACGUCACUCCACACGACUUGAAGAAAAUUCUCUGCGGUAGUGCUGCACCGCAUCCCUGGUGUGGCACUGCCCAGGAUGUCGACACGUGGCAAUCGGCCGAAAUCAGGAGCAGGCUUAUCCGCAGGAGCUGCGCGCCGUUCUGAGCCGAGCUGAGCAGACGUCGUAAGAAGGCCCAUCUGCUGCACGAGCGGCGUUCCACCAUCGAGCUGACUCGCGCAACUCGCGCCAGCCGUUUUGUGACCGAGCUGGUUCCGUAGCAUCCAUCGAAGGCGGCUCCGUCCAAAAUCAGAUCGAGCCUGCCCUCCUUCUCGCCCAGGUCGUUCUUCACUCGCGAAGGAGGAGGCUUCUCUGUUUGAAUCGACGGAGCAGCGGGAAACAAGUAAGGAUGAGAGGCGACCAGCGGCGGCGGCGGGUCGUCGAGCUGUGCGGCGCGAGCGGUGGCCGGUGGGUCAUCGAGCAGUCGUUGGAACUGCAAGUGUGAAGCAGACCAGCAAGCUUGAUGGCCUCCAUCAAGCCGGCUAUCUUGUACGGGCGAACAGGAAAAAAAGUAUGCCUACUGUAUUUAUGUAUUCAAAUGUCCGUCUAUUUUGGAUGAGCAAGCAAGUGGCUUAGUGAAAAGAACAAAUCAAUGGCUAAAGCAGUUUCUGCUUCUAAGAAAUAAUUGUGUAUCAAUGACAAUGUUUGUCGUGUUUGGCCAAUGAGAUAUAACUUUGUCUUUUGAAUUCAUCAGAAAACAAGAUGUGCAUCUAGUGCUCUCAACUUCCAAUGGACGAGAUGAAAAGUGCAAUCUGGAGGGGUGGUCAGACAUCAGCUCUCAAGUUUCAGUUUACAUGCAAGAUGAAACAGCAAGCAGAAAGAAAACUGAAAGUUUUGGUGAAGCUAAAAAUUACAGUGGUCUUGAUAAAUAGGGUGUUAAUUGUUACUGAAUUGUUUUGUUUGUAUAAAAUAAGACUGGGCAUUUGCCCUUUUCUUCUACUGUAUGGAAUUGUCUGAUUCCUUCCUUCUGUUGGCCGUAUGGAAUUGUAAAUGGAUCCUAUUUCUGCUAUCCCAAAUAGAAAUGUCCUGAUAUUAUUGAAGAGAAUGGAUCACAAAUGAAAGAGCAGUAGCUGUAUGGUGUCCAGAAUAGUUCAGAAUCACUGAAACAGGAUGAUCUCGAUGGUGAACCACAAGCAACUGCAAUCUCGGCAGCCGCUGCUGCCUCAACGUUGAGGGUAGAUGGCAGAAGGGUACGAACCAUGUUGCCAUCACCAGAAAUCGAAUGCCCGGCGGCAGACUUUUCCAAUGAGGACAGCCACGAAUAUAAUGGAAAAUUAGGGCAUCUGAUUGCCUGGCGGCAGCAGAAUUCUCCACGCGACGAGGAAAGAGGCGGCCCUGAUCCCAUUUUGACUGGGCUUUCUUCAAUCAGGAGAACGGGGAGGACCGUCGGCUUGAUUGCCCAUGGGCAACCUAUACCUUUUCCUCCUUUUCAUUUAAGAAGUUUCUAGUAACUUAUCAUGAAUUUAGCUAAAACUAUUGGCAUACCAAAUUCUUGGUAACGAAUCAAGUGAUAGCCAAAACUUUCUAGGCAUGAUUUGAAUUUGGUUGGGCAAAUAUUGGAACCCAACCAAUCAGGAUGUCAGUUCUCCUCGUGCAUGGUCUGCUCGGCUUGGCUAGGCUCAGAAUGGCGCACAACUCCCGCGGAUAGGCCUGCUCCUGAUUCGGCCGAUUGCCACCCGUUGAUAUCAUGGGCGGUGUCGCACCAGUUUGGUGGAGCUCCCACCAGUUCCGGUUCCUCUACUGACGCGCUACUACGCGCUACUAGCGCGUCAGAGGAGCAGGGGCGAAGCCAAGUAGUGUUUGCCUGGUGCACAUGCACCAGGGUAAAAUGCUAUUUUUCCUUGUUAAUAGCCCAUAAUCACCUCAUGUGCACUCCCCUUUGGUCAAACUGGUGCACCAGGCAGAGAGUCCUCUUCCCCUUGCCGCUGGGCCUGGACAAAGCAAGGCGUGCAGCAUGCCAACCAACUCCGUUGCCGUGGCCAAAUUAUCUAUAAAUUGCUAUAUCCAUCGAUGGGGUACACACGUGUUUGUUCAGAACUUUAAGCCUGCAUAAAUGCAUAAUGUUUGCACUAUUUGAAGAUUAAUUAUAUGUGCCUUCACGGUUCUAAUAACUGCUCAAGCGUCUAAUCUUGAUUUAGUAUUUAGAAAUAGAGGAAUCACACAUUCAUAAAAAUAUAUCUUCUCACAGGUCGCAGCAUCAGGUGGCCUCGUGAGACAGCAAACCAAGAUUGCUCAGCAUCGAUAAUUCUUCCUUGUUUACUCAAGUGCAUUCUAGUUCAAUAAAUUGCUUUAAGAGAUAUAGACAUAAGCGAUUACAUCAUUUUCUUUUUACAAAGCACAUACACAUCCGUACGCACCCCUGCUAACUGCCAAAUGCAUGUACACAUACUCUACCCCUUUGAAUGCCUAUGAGAUGGGGAGAGAAUCAAAAUUCCGUCAUGAUUGAAAUCACUAUUCAUCCGAAAUAUCGCUGUCUUCACUAAAAGAUCUACCUUCUAAACUUAAAUUUCGUCCGAAAUUUCAAGAAUUUUGAUCAUUUCAAUGGGAUCUAAAAAUACCGAAAAUAAAAUUUAAAACCCAAAUUGGGACUACAAAUCUUGAGACUUACCAUUCAUUCCUUGAAAAUUUGAAAGUAUAAUUAGUCGUAAAUGCAUCCAAUCGUGCUUAACUGGAUGUUCGAAUCUGGUUGGAUAUGUUCCACCACAAGAAACCUAAGCAAGUCUUUAUUUUCUUAUCUUUGAUUCAUGUUUACCAAGAAAAAUGCUUUAAUAAUUAUUAUAUGCUCUAUGGAUGUAAAUAGAAAAACAAUGACCAAAUCCGCCCACAUUUGACAAUUAUCUUUCAACAAAACUAUGAAAUAGAAGAGUGUGGUCGGAGUAGUUGGAAAUGUAUGCAUGUCAAGACGAUGCACCAAGGUUUUCCGAGCUCUAGCUUCGCCCCUGCAGAGGAGCCGGAGCUGGAGAAGCCACAAAAACUAGUUCCACCGGCUCCUCGAUCUAUGGGAGGCAGGGAGAAGGGGGAUAAAAAUAGCUCGUAUGAACAGUAUUGCUACAGUGCGUGAAUAGUAAAAUGGUAGAAGAAGCCAGAGCUGUUUAGAGUCGCACCGGAAGUAGCCGGAGCUGUUUAGAACCGCACCAAACUAGCCCUAAGCUGCAGUCAUGGUUACGAGUGCGCCGGAUCCUUGUCCGUCCGCGACAGCCUCCUCACUCCUGUCCCCGUGUAAUUAAUAAGCUCUGCCAGCGACCAGUACGUAGUCUUCGACAGACGACAGGCCGUCGGGGACACGCUGCGGACUGAGCCAGCGAGCGACAUGGUCAGCUCACGAGACGCCGAGGCGCCACUGCUCGCCGAGCCCGACGACGCCGCCGCUCCGGCGCCGGCGCCGGGGAAGCGCAACAAGUACCCCUUCUUCUGCGCCGUGCUCGCCUCCAUGACCUCCGUCCUCACGGGCUACAGUACGUUCAUAUAAGCAUCUUUUGCAUAUAUACAUAUAUGUACGUAUCAUCACAGACGCCGUGCCACGGCAUGCUUGAUCGGUGGCAGACGUGGCGGUGAUGAGCGGCGCGCAGAUCUUCAUGGCGGAGGACCUGGGCAUCAGCGACGCGCAGAUCGAGGUGCUCUCGGGGAUCAUCAACCUCUACUCGCUCGCCGGCGCGCUGCUGGCCGGGUGGACCUCCGACCGCCUCGGCCGCCGCCUCACCAUCGUGCUCGCCAACGUCCUCUUCCUCCUCGGCCCGCUGUGCAUGACGCUCGCCGAAGGGUACAACGCGCUCAUGGUGGGGCGGUUCAUCGCCGGCAUCGCCGUCGGCUACGACUUCGUCAUCGCCCCCAUCUACGCCGCCGAGAUCGCGCCGGCGUCCUCCCGCGGCCUCCUCACCUCAGUCCCCGAGGUAUCCUACCAUAGCUGUGCGUCAAGAACAAUUAUCGACAUAUUUGAUUUGAUUAUUUUGUGCAUUCUUUUGCCUUGAAGAUUUUUAACAACACUGGAGUGAUGCUGAGCUACGUGUCGAACCUCGCCUUCUCCGGGCUGCCGGCGCACCUGUCGUGGCGUGUGAUGUUCGCGGCCGGGGUGGUGCCGCCGGUGUUCCUGGCGGUAGGCACGCUCACCAUGCCGGAGUCGCCGCGGUGGCUGGUGAUGAAGGGCCGGGUCGCUGAGGCCAAGGUCGUGCUGGACAGGACGUCGGACACGGCAGCGGAGGCCGAGCAGCGGCUGCUCGAGAUUGUGGGAGUCGUCUCCGGCGACAGCGGCGGAGGGAAAGGGAGGAGCAGCGGCGCGUGGAAGGAGGCCGCGGCGAAGCCCGGAGUCCGGCGCGUGUUGGCCAUGGUGCUGACGCUGCAGUUCUUCCAGCAGGCGUCGGGCAUCGACUCGGUGGUGCUGUACGGCCCGCGGAUCCUCGCCACGGCUGGCGUCACCAGCACCUCGGUCCUCAGCCUCAACGUCCUCUUCGGCGUCGCUAAGGCCGGGUCCAUCCUCAUCGCCAUGGCGCUGGUCGACCGCGCCGGCCGCCGGCCGCUGCUCCUCGUGAGCACGGGCGGCAUGACGGCGUCGCUGCUGCUGGUGGGCUCCCUGUUCGCGGCGUCCGCGGGCGCCGCCAAGCAGGACGCGGUGGCGUCGACGGCGAGCGUGGCGGCGGUGGUGUCGUACGUGGUGUUCUUCUCCAUGGGGCUGGGGCCCAUGGCGUGGGUGUACAGCUCGGAGAUCCUGCCGCUGCGGCUGCGGGCGCAGGGCGCCGGGCUCGGCACGGCGAUGAACCGCGUCAUGUGCGCGGUGGUCAUCAUGACCUUCAUCACGCUCUACAAGGCCAUCACCAUGGCGGGAGCGUUCUACCUCUACGCAGCCAUCGCGGCCGCCGCGUUUGUGUUCGUCUACACGUGCCUGCCGGAGACCAGGGGACGGAGCCUCGAGGACAUGGAGGAGCUCUUCCACACAAAGUGACAAGUGUGAUCUGAUCCAACAAUCAUUCAGACAAAUGUACGAGUUUUGGACUUUGGCCAAAAUAAAUUUCCAUAUAGAUCCUAAGAGACUUAUACAUGGUAUGGUGGGGCCGCGGGAGACAACGUUAGAGAGACUUAUUCCCACUUUGCUACUCAAGCUGGAAAAAGAUUAGCUUCAGCUAGCCUUAAUCCCGUACAUUCGCACUUGCUAGUUCAUAUAUGGUACUUCUUGUUAGAAGUGCCGUAUCAUAUACUGAUACAGGGAAUGAUACGAAUAACAUUCGAGGUUCUUUUUUAAGCAACCCCACACUCCAGCUACACAAAUUGUAGGAAUGAUAUUCGGGGUUCUUUUUUAGGAGCAAUCCCUAUACUCCAGCUACACAAAUUGUAGGAAUAGGUUGAAUAGUCUCUUGCUCUUGGUUGGGUUGGUGUUUUUUUAGAGAGCUACGGUAUCCAACUAUUACAGUGCCACCAGUGGUGAACACUUUGGACAAAUUCACUCAAAAUGGGACGUGUGAUAUAUGGUUAACAUAUCUCAUUAGGUCGUGACCAUAGAAAAAUGAGUUUGGAUAUUUAAAUAGGAGGUCAAAGAUUGAACUUUACUUUGUUUCAGCAUUUCCUGGGUUUACUGACGGACGAGUCUAAAGGUUCAUAAGCAACUCGUGAUUUUGCCUAGAUUUUAGCGAUUCGUAUCUUUAAAUCCAUUGAUCUUUGGAGCAAAAGUUCUAUUAUUUAUUACUAGUAGCUGUUUGUACCAGCUCCAACUUUGGUCGAAGGUCCAGGACGAGUUGGUGUUUGGUUAGGAUGAGUUUCAUCGAAAAAGGGACUGCAUUUGUGUGCACUUUUAAGCUGCAACUGCAGCUGCUGCGUUCUUCUUUUCUUCUGCCCGCAAGAACAAAGCUCCGCCAUCGCCAAUCGAUUCGAGAGCUCAGCUCCUCCACCGGCAGAUUCCUUCUGUCCAGGGAUUCUCCACAACACCAUAAGCCUCUCCACUCCAUCAAUCAACAAUCAAAUCAACAGCCGCGCCAAGCUCAUUCAUCCCACCUUGUUUGCGCAUAGUGAAGUCGAGUGAUCCUGCUAAACACAUUGGAAUUAAGUCUCAUGUUUUUUGUGACCCUGGAUCUCGAUUUGUGCUGCUGUGUACUUGUAUUUCAGAGGCAAGAUGAGUAAAAUGAAGUGUAUUUUUGUGGCCCUACCUCUGCACGUUGCUGAUUUGUUCAUUGAAAAGCUUCCUGCUGCUUGUGUUGCGAUAAAAAAAAAGCACUUAUCCCUCUUCCCAACUCCUCUCUUCAAAUCCUAUGGUUGCGCAUAUAUGACAAUACGAUGCUCUAAAUGAUUUUUCUGUGAUGGAAAUGAUGAUGGAUUCGUAUUAUUCAUGGUUGAUGGCCACCAUUAUUCUAAGCAUACGUGUCCAUGUCAAUGAUGCCUGUGAUAUUAAUCUGAGCACACUUGUCCAUGUCAAUGAUGCCUACGAUAUUAAUCUGAGCACACUUGUCCAUGUCAAUAAUGCCUAUGAUAUUAAUCUGAGCACACUUGUCCAUGUCAAUGAUAUGUGUUAUAUUAAUCUGAGCAUACUUGUCCAUGUCAAUGAUGUCUUGUUAACUCUGCCACUUGUGCAUUUUUGUGCAAACACUAAAGGCUAUGUUACUUGUUAUUUAUAUAGAUGGCUCUUGAAGACAAGAGACGCAUGCUUAUUGUUUAUGCAUCUGCUCUAGUCAUUGCCAUGUAUGCAUUCUUCCUAAAUAGGAUUAGAAUGGGUCAAUGCUCACGACCUCAGAUUACUUAUGCCCCAAUGAGUGCUAUGGAUGAGGAAUGACAAAAGAACUUGGAUAAAAUUUAUAACUACAAUGAUGUAGAGUGUGUAAACAUGCUUCGCAUGAGAAGAGCCCCUUUCUUUCAGCUAUGCAAUUUGCUUAAAGAUAGAAACCUGCUUAGAGACACCAUACAUAGCAGUGUAGAAGAGCAAGUUACAAUGUUUCUUCAUGUUGUUGGGCAUAACCAAAGAAUUCGAGUUAUACACCAAAAUUGGAGGAGGUCUGUAGAGAUAGUGAGUAGACAUUUCUGUGGCGGAACUUGUUGGAGGUAUGCCCUAGAGGCAAUCAUAGAGAUGAUGAUAUUCCAUUUGUAUCCAUGAUUUGUAUAUUGUGUUCAUUGAAUAUCCAUUAAAGGCUACUUGAAUUGAUUUGCAAUUAUGUGAAUUGUAUGUGAAACUCUUUACUUGUAUGGUUAUUCUAAAGUUGUCCCUAGUCGGAGUUCAUGUGAGGACACACAUGAAUAUUAGACUAGCACAUGUAUUAGUUGAUGACUAUGUUUCACAAGUCAUGGACAUGGAGAUGUUGAACUAAUAAUGUGGACACAUGUGGAGACAUGUGCUAGGACUGACCCAACACGAGAAGUAGUUCUCUCUUUAAACAACAUAUACGCUUUGUCCUUAGACCUGAGAUUGUCGCAUGUAUUCUAGAUGUGGAUCGACCUACUUAGGGGCUAUCAAACGCUACGCCGUAACAGGGUAGUUAUAAAGGUAGCUUUCGGGUUUGUCAAGAAGCAUGCUAUGAGACAUGGUCAAUCAAGAUGGGAUUUGCCCCUCUCUGAUUGAGAGUGAUAUCUCUGGGCCCCUCGAGUGAUCGGAUCCGAAAAUGCAUGGCCAUGCUACGUACGGUUAAGAGUUAACCUACAAAGGGAUUCCGAAUCACAGGAUCGAGAAAGAGCGGUCGGCUUGAAGCUAGACCAAAUAUCGUGAGGCGAAGGGAAUAGCAUGUAUAUUAUGUUGUGAUGGUUCGUCUGAUAUGAUCUUCGUGUGCGUAUAGGAGUUGGCACGUCUUGCUAGAGGCCGCUACCGACUAUUGGGCCGAGUAGGAGUACUCGGGCCAUGUCUAUACGUAUCCGAACCCAUAGGGUCACACACUUAAGGGGCUGGAAGCCCAAUUCGGAUCUGAUCCGAGUUGGAUUAGGUUUAGAAGUACUAAUGGGCCUCGGACCCAGAGGCCCGUCAGGAACCUCUAUAAAUAGAGGGGUGGGGGCACCCUAGGGUUUACACCUUUUUGGCGAAACACACCUGCCGCGCCUCCCACGCCCUCGCCUGUUGCAACUCGCGGAUCUAGCAGUCCGGCUUGCGACGCUUCCUCCCUACACGUGUGGAUACCUUGGAGGUGUUGCGCCUGCAGCACUUGGACGAGCCGCCGACGAGCCACGACGAGCCGACGACGAGCCGCGGCACCGGAGGCGAUCUUGUUGCACGUGGACGAGCUGCUGAGAAGCUGCUGGACGUGAUCGACUAUGUACGACUACGUUGAUCGACUACGUACGACUACGUGAUCGUCUUCACUGCAUCGACGCAUCUCUACAUCUUCCGCACCAGUAGUGCGUCGAGUGGUAAUCCCGUGAUCCUUAUACGGCAGUUAUUCCUGGUUUUACGCGGUAGAAAUUUUGAUUUGCGCUAGUGUAGCCUACCUCGUAUCCCAACAGUGGUAUCAAGAGCCGUAGCUGCUUAGUUUUGGAUUCGGGAUGUGUGCAUAUGGAGAUAUGCGAGUUUUCAGUUUGAUCUAUGUCCUGGUUUCGUGCCCUUGCUGCAAUGGUAGUGUAACGACAUACUCCUACCGGUCGGUUUCCGCCAUCGGAGUUAAGUGAUACACGUAAAUCCAGUUGCAGUGAGCGAAGAUCAAUAUGAUUGGUCGAAUCGAAAUCCAGGGUCAUACGCCAGGCGCAUUAGAUGUGCAAUAGUAGAUGAGAUCUACUGCCGGGGUCGAGAUUUUUGCCGUAUGCGUAUGCUUCGGUAAAUCAGCCGUAACUUUUCGGUACGAUCCCGGAAUGGGGUGAAUUUUAUAUGAAAAUUGAUCUACAGAAAAAAUUACACAUGAAAUUCAACGCUUUGCCGUUUUCGGCGAAAUUAGAUUUCCCAAAUUCGGCUUGGAAGAUGGAGUUUCGGGCAUCCAAAGUUUGGAAUGUUAGGACGCAUAACUCUGUUUUGCAGGAUGUAUGUUUGUAUCUUGUGAUCAGUAUGGCCCCCUUGUGUAUGUGAUGCAUGUGUGUAACUCAUUCGUGACCUGCGUGUCGCGCGUACGGCAACACGGCAGGAGCCAUAUGUGUUGUCACUUUAUUGUAUUUAAUGGUCUGCGUACCAAUCUGUGAUGAUCCAAGCCACUAUGUAAUCUUCAUUACUAGCUUCUUUACUGGCUAUUAGGCGUAAUAGCAUGUUCUAGUUCUUGGAGGACUCAUCACCAGAAGGAUGGCGCACAUGGAACAUGGAGAUGGAGAUCACCAUGGUGAACAGGUUCUAUGGAGAUGGAGAUCACCAUAUGAAAACGGGCCAUACUGUGUCACAGCUGUGUGAAUGCUAUUCUGUUUAUGUUUUACUUUCUGCAUGCUGUGAUGUUAGAAGUAGAACGAUCCCUCACAAAGUUUAAGUUAGUAUGCCCUCCCAACUAAAACUUGCACCGUCCCAUGUCUUGUACAAUUAGUGGUGGGUCUAUGAAAUUAGGGUGCCACUAGUUUUCCUUGACUAGACGGGUUUGUGUCGGACACUUACACGCAUAAGGGUUGGUUUGCCUAACGAGGUCAUCUUAACGGUUAAGGACCUUGGGACAUAAAGGUUGGGCGCCGAGACAUAGAGAUGUCACCCAACAACAGGAGUCAUAUGUGAUAUGAUUAGCAAAAGUUGCUUACCGAUCUACCUCGUUUGCUAGCGGUGAUGCUAAAGCUCACUAGUAGACUUGUUAGUUGUGGAUCCUGAAUCACUAAGUUUCAAUAGAGGGAUAUUGAUUUUAGUGGGAGUAGAUUCUGUUAAAAUAGUUUUAUGUAAUUUGCUCUAUCAUGGAUACGUUUGUCUUAGUAUAUUUUGCAUUACUUUUGUUGUAGAUUAAAUGGCACCUAGCAACACCACCACAUCGUUUGCUUUGCGUUCGGUCCUUGAGAAGGAAAAGUUGAAUGGAACAAACUACUCGGAUUGGAUCCGUAACCUGAGAAUUGUUCUCAGGGCCGAUAAAAAGGAAGAUGUUCUAGACACCCCACUACCACCAGUACCUGCUGAUGAUGCAUCUACUGCCGUUAAGGCUGCUUACAAGAAGGCAUUUGAUGCUAAUCUUGAGGUAAGCUGCCUUAUGCUUGCUUGCAUGGAACCCGAGCUGCAGAUGCAGUUCGAAACAAAUCAUGAGGCACACGAUAUGAUCGUGGCGCUCAAGGACAUGUUCCAGACACAGGCUAGGACCGAAAGGUUCAAUGUGUCCAAAGCCUUUCUGGAGUGCAAGUUAGCAGAAGGUGCAGCAGUGAGACCACAUGUAAUCAAGAUGGUUGGUUACACUCAGCGAUUGGAGAAGCUGGGCUUCCCAAUGGGCAAAGAGUUGGCCACUGACUUCAUUCUUUCAUCUCUUCCGCCUAGCUAUGGGAACUUCAUCUCGAACUACCAUAUGCAUGGGACGGAGAAGGGUUUGAAUGAACUGUGUGGUAUGCUCAAGACAGCAGAGGUAGACAUCAAGAAAAGCGCUAGUACCAGCCAUGUGAUGGCUAUACAGAACAAGCCUAGCUUUAAGAAGAAGGGCAAUUCUUGGAAGAAGAAGGGCAAGGCUGGAACGUCCAAGCCAAACCCAGCGCUCAAGGUUAAAGCUGGACCUGGACCUGCUCCAGACAAAGAGUGCUUUUACUGUCAUGAACUUGGUCACUGGAAGAGAAACUGCAAGCAGUACCUAGCUUCCUUAAAGAAUGGCGGAAGUAAGAGUACUUCUACCUCAGGUACGCUUGUUGUUAAUGUUAUAGACAACAUAUUUCUCGCUGAUACAAUUAUUAAUUCUUGGGUAUUUGAUACUGGAUCGGUUGCUCAUAUUUGCAAUUCGAUGCAGGGAAUGAUAAGAAGUAGAAGCGUGGAAAGAGGAGAAGUUGAUUUCCGCGUGGGCAAUAAUGUAAGAGUUGCUGCGUUGACCGUCGGGACGAUGCAACUCCACCUCCCGUCAGGAUUUAUUAUGGAGUUGAAUAAUUGUUAUUUUGUUCCUAGUUUAAGUCGAAACAUUUUAUCUCCUUCAUGCUUGAUGAAGGAUGGUUAUUCAUUUGCGAGUGAAAACAAUGGUUGUGUGAUCUCUAAGAAUAAUAUGUUUAUGGCUUUUGCACCCAUUGUGAAUGGAUUAUUUGUUUUAAAUCUUGAUGGUUCACCUGUCUGUAAUGUAAGUGCUAAAAGGCCUCGGCCUAAUGAUUUGAGUCCUACCUACUUGUGGCAUUGUCGUUUGGGUCAUAUAAGUGAAAAGCGCAUGAAGAAUCUCCAUUUUGAUGGACUUCUAACUUCGUUUGAUUUUGAAUCAUACGAGACAUGUGAGGCUUGCUUGCUAGGCAAGAUGACCAAGACGCCUUUCACAGGAUUUCCUGAGAGAGCAGUAGACUUGUUGGAACUCGUACAUAGUGAUGUAUGCGGACCAAUGAGCACGACGGCUAGAGGAGGAUUCCAAUACUUCAUAACUUUCACUGAUGAUUUCAGUAGAUAUGGCUAUGUCUACUUGAUGAGGCACAAGUCUGAAACCUUUGAAAAGUUCAAGGAAUUUCAGAAUGAAGUUGAAAAUCAGCGUGGCAAGAAAAUUAAGGCCUUACGAUCUGAUCGUGGAGGCGAGUAUUUGAGCCACGAGUUUAGCAAUCAUCUAAAAGAGUUGCGGAAUUGUUCCACAACUUACGCCGCCUAGAACACCUCAGAGAAACGGUGUGUCCGAGCGACGUAAUCGAACUUUGUUAGACAUGGUUCGAUCAAUGAUGAGCCAGUCGGACCUACCGUUGUCAUUUUGGGGAUACGCUCUAGAAACAACAGCUUUCACACUUAAUAGGGUACCAUCUAAAUCCGUAGUUAAGACACCAUAUGAGAUAUGGACCGGAAAGGUUCCUAGUUUGUCUUUUCUAAAGAUUUGGGGAUGUGAAGUCUUCGUCAAACGACUUCAGUCGGACAAGAUCACACCCAAGUCGGAUAAGUGCAUUUUCGUGGGAUAUCCAAAGGAAACUUUGGGAUAUUAUUUCUACAACCGAUCAGAAGGCAAAGUGUUUGUCGCUCGGAACGGGGUUUUCCUAGAGAAAGAGUUUCUCAAAGGAGAAAAGAGUGGAAAGACAGUGCAUCUUGAAGAAGUUCAAGAUGAGCCGAUCGGGCAAGAAUCAAUGAGUGAUGCUAACGUAGCAGAAUAAGUUGAGAUACCCAUGGCAAGAGAAGCACCGCCACAACCACGAAGGUCGGCAAGGCUCCGCGAAAUGCGGGAAAUAUUAUUGUUGGACAAUGAUGAGCCUGCGACAUAUGCAGAAGCAAUGAUGGACCCAGACUCCGAAAAAUGGCAGAGUGCCAUGCAAUCCGAAAUAGAGUCCAUGGGAGACAAUCAAGUUUGGAACUUGGUUGACCCGCCUGAUGGUGUUAAAGCCAUAGAGUGCAAGUGGAUCUAUAAGAAGAAAAAGGACAUGGAUGGAAAUGUUCACAUCUAUAAAGCACGACUUGUCGCAAAAGGUUUUCGACAAGUUCAAGGAGUUGACUACGACGAGACCUUCUCGCCCGUAGUGAUGCUUAAGUCCAUUCGGAUUAUUCUAGCUAUAGUUGCAUAUUUCGAUUAUGAGAUAUGGCAGAUGGAUGUCAAGAUAGCUUUCCUGAAUGGAAACCUAGCUGAGGACGUGUAUAUGAUACAGCCCGAGGGUUUUGUCGAUCUGAAAAAUGCUGGAAAGGUAUGCAAGCUUCAGAGAUCCAUUUAUGGAUUGAAGCAAGCAUCUAGGAGUUGGAACAUUCGUUUUGAUGAAGUGGUCAAAGGGUUUGACUUCACCAAGAACGAAGAAGAGUCUUGUGUUUACAAGAAGGUUAGUGGGAGCUCUGUAGUAUUUUUAAUCUUAUAUGUGGAUGACAUAUUACUGAUUGGAAAUAACAUUCCUAUGCUUGAGUCCGUAAAGACUUCACUGAAAAAUAGUUUUUCGAUGAAGGACUUAGGGGAAGCGACAUAUAUUCUAGGCAUUAAGAUCUAUAGAGAUAGAUCGAGAAGGCUUAUAGGUUUAAGCCAAGAUACUUACAUUGACAAAGUGUUGAAGCGGUUCAGCAUGGAAGAGGCAAAGAAAGGGUUCUUGCCUAUGUCACAUGGCAUACAUCUCAGCAAGACUCAGUGUCCUUCGACUGCUGAUGAGCGGGAUCGCAUGAGUAGAGUGUCAUAUGCCUCGGCUAUUGGAUCUAUCAUGUAUGCAAUGAUAAGUACUCGCCCAGAUGUUUCAUAUGCGCUAAGUAUGACAAGCAGACACCAAUCUGAUCCAGGUGAGAGUCACUGGACAGCGGUGAAAAACAUUCUUAAGUACUUGAGAAGGACUAAAGAUAUGUUCCUCGUCUAUGGAGGUGAGAAGGAGCUCGUUGUAACAGGUUACACCGAUGCUAGUUUCCAAACCGACAGAGAUGAUUCAAAGUCACAAUCAGGAUUUGUGUUCACACUGAAUGGUGGUGCUGUUAGUUGGAAGAGUUCCAAGCAGGAGAUGGUGGCCGAUUCUACGACAGAAACCGAGUACAUCGCGGCUUCGGAAGCCGCGAAGGAAGGUGUUUGGAUAAGGAAUUUCCUCAUUGAGCUUGGUGUGUUCCCGAAUGCGUCCAGCCCUUUGAAUCUCUACUGUGAUAAUAAUGGGGCAAUUGCGCAAGCAAAGGAGCCAAGGAACCACCAGAAGAACAAACACGUAAUGCGGCGAUUUCAUCUCAUUCGAGACUUCGUUAACCGGGGUGAGAUCAAGAUAUGCAAAAUACACACGGAUCUGAACAUUUCUGAUCCGUUGACAAAACCACUCCCGCAGGCUAAGCAUGAUGCGCAUGUAAGAGCUAUGGGUAUUAGGUACCUUCUAGAUUGACUCUAGUGCAAGUGGGAGACUGUUGGAGGUAUGCCCUAGAGGCAAUCAUAGAGAUGAUGAUAUUCCAUUUGUAUCCAUGAUUUGUAUAUUGUGUUCAUUGAAUAUCCAUUAAAGGCUACUUGAAUUGAUUUGCAAUUAUGUGAAUUGUAUGUGAAACUCUUUACUUGUAUGGUUAUUCUAAAGUUGUCCCUAGUCGGAGUUCAUGUGAGGACACACAUGAAUAUUAGACUAGCACAUGUAUUAGUUGAUGACUAUGUUUCACAAGUCAUGGACAUGGAGAUGUUGAACUAAUAAUGUGGACACAUGUGGAGACAUGUGCUAGGACUGACCCAACACGAGAAGUAGUUCUCUCUUUAAACAACAUAUACGCUUUGUCCUUAGACCUGAGAUUGUCGCAUGUAUUCUAGAUGUGGAUCGACCUACUUAGGGGCUAUCAAACGCUACGCCGUAACAGGGUAGUUAUAAAGGUAGCUUUCGGGUUUGUCAAGAAGCAUGCUAUGAGACAUGGUCAAUCAAGAUGGGAUUUGCCCCUCUCUGAUUGAGAGUGAUAUCUCUGGGCCCCUCGAGUGAUCGGAUCCGAAAAUGCAUGGCCAUGCUACGUACGGUUAAGAGUUAACCUACAAAGGGAUUCCGAAUCACAGGAUCGAGAAAGAGCGGUCGGCUUGAAGCUAGACCAAAUAUCGUGAGGCGAAGGGAAUAGCAUGUAUAUUAUGUUGUGAUGGUUCGUCUGAUAUGAUCUUCGUGUGCGUAUAGGAGUUGGCACGUCUUGCUAGAGGCCGCUACCGACUAUUGGGCCGAGUAGGAGUACUCGGGCCAUGUCUAUACGUAUCCGAACCCAUAGGGUCACACACUUAAGGGGCUGGAAGCCCAAUUCGGAUCUGAUCCGAGUUGGAUUAGGUUUAGAAGUACUAAUGGGCCUCGGACCCAGAGGCCCGUCAGGAACCUCUAUAAAUAGAGGGGUGGGGGCACCCUAGGGUUUACACCUUUUUGGCGAAACACACCUGCCGCGCCUCCCACGCCCUCGCCUGUUGCAACUCGCGGAUCUAGCAGUCCGGCUUGCGACGCUUCCUCCCUACACGUGUGGAUACCUUGGAGGUGUUGCGCCUGCAGCACUUGGACGAGCCGCCGACGAGCCACGACGAGCCGACGACGAGCCGCGGCACCGGAGGCGAUCUUGUUGCACGUGGACGAGCUGCUGAGAAGCCGCUGGACGUGAUCGACUACGUACGACUACAUUGAUCGACUACGUACGACUACGUGAUCGUCUUCACUGCAUCGACACAUAUCUACAUCUUCCGCACCAGUAGUGCGUCGAGUGGUAAUCCCGUGAUCCUUAUAAGGCAGUUAUUCCUGGUUUUACGCGGUAGAAAUUUUGAUUUGCGCUAGUGUAGCCUACCUCGUAUCCCAACAGAACCACCCAAAUAGUAAAAUAUGACAUACUAGGUUGUAGAUAUUUAAGUUCUUUUCAUGUUGUUAUUUGUUCAUUAUAUAUCCUUUAUGGUCAUAAUACUGAGUGCUUUGCAGUUUCUCUUGUCAUGGAAGCACAUCAAUACCUACCUGCUUUAUGUACUCGACAUUGAGCGAAAGAAACUUAUUGUGAUUGACCCUAAACCCAUUCCAAAUUAUGCCACAGAUGUGUCAUAUAAACAUUAUGCAAUACAGAUUGUAGGGUUUCGCCUAAAAUUUCAGGCUACAUUUAGACAGCUUAAACCUGAUUCAUGGAAGGAUGUUAACAAAUAGGAAUUUGAACGUGUCAAAGGGAUUGCAGAAGACACUAAUGGGUAAUUAAAAGCAUCUAGGCCCAUAAUUUGAGUUUUGGUAAUAAAUGACAACCCCUUGACGACUACUGUUUUUCAAUGAGCAAUAUUGAGUGUAGGUUAGUCCCGUGGAUGAGUUGUGGCCAUGAUUCUUAGUAUGAUGACAUUCAAAUUUGAUUUGAUGAUGGAAGGCUCAAGGCAAAGGUAUAAAAUAGGGUUUUUCCUUUUUGCCGGUCAAACAUGCGCUUAGUGGAUGAACAAUAUGACCGGUUUUAAUAGGAUAGAUGGCCGUACUAUUAAGAGGGGUCAAUUCUCCUAUUGCUUGAGGGUUCUAUAGUACCUCUUUGCUCAAAAGAAUGCAUUGCAUAUCAAAGUUUUGAUCUAAGAUGAGCAUAUGGUUUCUUUUAUAUUGAAAAGAUCUCUUUUGAAAGAGUUUCUGUGCCAAUGGUGGACGGUCCGCAAUUCAUUUAGCGGACGGUCCGCUAAGGUCCUCCAGAAACUAUUUCUGCCAAGUGUUUGAACCGCGGACGGUCCGCAGUUCAUUUAGCGGAUAGUCCGCUAAGGGUCUCCAGAAACUAUUCCUGCCGGGUGUUUGAACUACGGAUGGUCCGCGGUUCAUUUGGUGGACGGUCCACUGGACGCGGACGGUCUGCGACUUGUACCGCGGAUGAUCCGCGACCCCGUAAUGGUUUUUCUCUGACACGCAUUAAAUGCCAAUAGAGCCGUUGGACUUUGUACUGCGGACGGUCCGCGGUUUCCCAGUUUUGCAUGAAAUUUUACUGUAACGGCUAGUUUUGGUGGUGGGGGUUAUAAAUACCCCCCCACCGGUUGUUGGAGCUCUCUCUUAGUUCUUUGGACUACAUUUAUGAUCUUUUGAGUCUCUCUCCACCUCUCACUCACUUGCAUUGAAUUGAGAUUGCUUUCUAGUGAGUUUGAGAGGCUUCUAGUGCAUUGCAUUGAUUUCUUGAGCUUUGGGGCACUAGGGAGUCUUUAAGCAAGCGUCAAUUGGCUUAUUACUCUUGGAGGUUGCCGCUUCCUAGACGGCUUGGAGCUUGUGGAGCCGUUGAGAACUUCAAGGAGAUUGUGAAGUUGCUCCGGCUAUUUUUGUGAGAGGUUUUGUGCUCACCUCAUCGGAGUGAUGAAGAGUAACUCUAGUGGAAACGAGGUUUGGAGAGGUUCUUUGAUUUAAUUCAGCUUAAAACAUCAAGCGGUGUCUUGAUAGAGAAACAAUUGAGUCAUUGAAUCCACCUCAACAUGGAUUAGGGGUGACCGGCAAGUCAUCGACACCACGGGAAAACAUCGGUCUCUCUCUCGGUUGUCUUCUUGCUCUCUACCUUCGUAGUAGUACUUACUUCAAGUGAAUGCUUUCAUCUAUCUUAUUUUAUUACUUGUCAUCCUAGCUCAUCUUGACAUACCUAGUAGUAGAUUUACUAGUUGUUGCUUAUCUUGUGGGUUUCUAAUUAAAGUUUAUUAAGUAUUGUGUUUUAGCUUAAAACCGCCUAUUCACCCCCCCUCUAGUCGGUAUCCUAAAUCCUACAAGUGGUACCAGAGCCAAGGACUCCGUAUUUCAAGGGUUUAACCAUCCCGGAGUAGGAUAAAUGGCUAGUGAGAACAAUGUUCAUGUGGGGAAGCCAUCUUUCUUUGAUGGGAAUAACUAUGAUUAUUGGAAGACUAGAAUUAUGGUGCAUCUUAAGGCUAUGGGCAAGAAAGUUUGGAAGAUUGUUAAUGAAGGUUUUGUGAUUCUUGAUGAUAAAAAUAUGAGUGAAGCUGAUGGAGCAAAUGAAUUAUUAAAUGAUCAAGCAAUGAAUGUGCUAUAUGGGGCCCUUGAUGUGAAUGAGUUCAAUCGGGUUAAGAAUCUCUCAACCGCUUAUGAAGUGUGGAACAAGUUAAUGGAAAUUCAUGAAGGGACUUCUACCGUGAAGGAAGCUAAACUUUAUGUGGUCAAAGGAAAGUUUAAUGAAUUCUCUAUGAAGAAGGAUGAAGAUGUCUCAUCCAUGUUCAACCGGUUGAAUGAGAUUGUGAAUGAACUCAAGGGUCUUGGAUUCAAUGUUCCGGAUGAGGAUUUCUCUCACAAAUUUCUUGGGUGUCUCCCAGAGAAAUAUGAUACAAUUAUGACAUUGAUAGUGAGAUCAAAUUUGAAGACUAUGACUCCUACACAAGUGCUAGGUGAAGUACUCACUCAUGAUAUCUUCAAGCAAUCACAAAAUGAAGCACAUGGUGUAGUGAAAGAAGAGGAGAAGAAAAGCAUUGCUCUAACGGCUAAGUCCUCAAAGGAGAACAAAAAUAUUAAGAGUGAUGAUGAUGAUGAUGAUGAUGAUGAUGAUGAUGAUGAUGAAGAAGAAAUGGCAUUGUUUGUAAGAUGGCUAAGAAGAAUCAUGAAGAACAAAAGCUUCAACAAAGGUCAAUCAUCAAAUAAGAAUCCUUUUGAAGAUAAAAAGUGCUUUGAGUGCGGAGAAAUUGGUCAUAUUGCCGCAAAUUGUCCCAACAAGAAGAAGAACAAGGGCAAGAAAUUUGAUGACAAGAAGAAGAGGAAAUUCUAUAAGAAGAAGAAGAAUGGGCAAGCCUAUUAUGUUGAAUGGGAUUCCAAUGCAAGCUCCGACUUGGAAGAUGAUGAGGAUGAUAAGUCUCCAAAGGGGGUCGCCGGAAUUGCCAUCAAGGAAGCUCCAUCUCUCUUCUUCUCACCUUUUUGUCUAAUGGCAAAAGGAAAAACAAAGGUAUCAUUCGAUGAACUUGAUCAUGAUGACGAUAAUGAGCUUACCUAUGAUGAUCUUGUUAACAUGCUUAAUGAAUCCGAUGACUACAUGCGUAAAGAAAAGAAGAAGUUUAAGGAAUUGAAGUUGAAAUUCCAAACACUUCAAGAAACCUAUGAGGAGCUAAAGACUUCUCAUAAGAAUCGAAAAGAAUCUCAUGAGAAGCUUGAGGAAGCUCACAAUUCUCUUCUUGCGCAUGAAGCUAAGGAGAAACUAAGCAUGGGCAUAAAGUGUGCUAUGAAAAAUGAUAUUUCUUGCAUGCCUAGUUCUUCAAAUGCUUGUUAUAGUGAUAUGUCAUUCAUAAGUAAUACCUCUAUGAGUGACUUAGAUAUCAUGAUGGAGAAUGAGAAAUUAAAGAAGGAAGUGGAAUGCUUAAAAAAUGAUUUGAUGAAGUGCUAUGAUAGUAGAGUUCAAUUCAAACAUAUUUGGUCAAGCCAAAAAUUCACGUUGAAUCGUGAAGGGCUAGGAUAUAUUCCUAAGAAAGGAAAGAAAGCUUUCACUCACAAAAUGAUCACAUUUGUCAAAAAUGAAGGCAAGUAUUGCAAAAGGUGCAAGAAUAUUGGACAUAUCAUGAAUGAGUGUACAAAGAAGCAAGCCGUAUCCUUUGAUGCUAGUUAUAUCCUUAAGAAAAAUCAAAAUGGAAACAUUAUUGCUAAAUAUGUUGGGUUACCCACAUUUGGUGCUAAAAAGAAUGCCAUUUGGGUACCGAAGGUCUUGGUUUCUAACAUCCAAGGACCCAAACAAGUUUGGGUACCUAAAAGAGCUUAAUUCUUUUUGUAGGUAAACUACAAGUCCAGAGGAAGAUAUUGGGUAAUUGAUAGUGGAUGCUCUCAACAUAUGACCGGUGAAGUAAAAAUGUUCUCUUCUCUUGAUGAUGAAGCAUCCGGAUAUGAUAAUAUUACCUUUGGAGACAAUGGCAAGGGUGAGGUAAAAGGAUUGGGUAAAAUCACUAUCUCAAAUGAUCACGCCCUUUCAAAUGUGCCAUUGGUUGAUUCUCUAAAAUUCAAUUUAUUUUCGGUUGCUCAACUUUGUGAUCUUGGUUAUAAGUGCACUUUCACUAGUGAUGGUUUUGAGGUCACUAGCAUGGAUGGGAAAAUGUGCAUCUUCAAGGGUUUUAAGCAUUAAAGCUUACACCUUGUGGAUUUUUCUUCGAGUUAUGCCAAGCUAACAACUUGUCUUUUCUCAAAAUCCUCUAUGGGUUGGCUAUGGCAUAGAAUAUUAGCUCAUGUUGGAAUGAAACAAUUGAAUUGUUUGUUGAAACAUGAUCUAGUAGUUGGCUUGAAAGAUGUGAAGUUUGAGAAGGACAAAUUAUGUAGUGCUUGUCAAGCCAGGAAGCAAGUGGGUAACUCUCAUCUAUCCAAGAGCAUAAUGUCAAUCUCAAGGCCAUUGGAACUAUUGCAUAUGGAUUUGUUUGGUCCAACCACAUAUAGAAGCAUUGGGGGAAAUUGCUAUUGUCUCAUGAUUGUUGAUGAUUAUUCAAGAUACACAUGGGGUUUCUUUCUUCAUGACAAGACGGAUACUUGUGACAUUUUCAAGAGAUUUGUGACAAGGGCUAAAAAUGAAUUUGACCUUAAGUUGAAGAAAGUUAGAAGUGAUAAUGGUAGUGAAUUAAACAACACAAGAGUAGAAGAUUUUUGUGAAGAAAAAGGAGUCAAGCAUGAAUUCUCAACCAAGUACACACCGGAACAAAAUGGCUUAGUUGAGAGGAAGAAUAGAACCUUGAUCGAUAUGACAAGAUCAAUGCUUUCAGAAUAUAAUGUAUCGGACUCUUUUUGGGCCGAAGCGAUUAACACCGCAUGCCAUGCAUCAAAUAGGCUCUAUUGUCAUAGAUUCUUCAACAAGACACCAUAUGAGCUACUUGUUGGAAGGAAACCCAAUAUAUCAUAUUUUCGGUUUUUUGGAUGCAACUGCUAUAUCCUAAGGAAGGGUACUCGGUUGUCAAAAUUCCAAAGCAAAUGUAAUGAGGGAUUUCUUCUUAGAUAUUCAUCUUCUAUCAAGGCAUAUAGGGUGUACAACAAAUCAAAGGGUUUUGUUGAGGAAGCAUAUGAUGUGGAAUUUGAUGAAACCAAUGGGUCUCAUGAAGAAAGAGAGAAUUUAGAUGAUGUGAGAAAUGAGGGCUUGAGUAAUGCAAUUAAAACAAUGACUAUUGGAGAUAUCAAGCCUAGAGAAGAAAAUGAGGAGGAGGAUGAUCCAUCCAUCUCUAUAAGAGUGAAUCCUCCAACUUCUAUCACUAAUAUUCAAGAAGAACACAACGAUCAAGAAGUUGAUGAUGGGAUUCCUCAUGAUUAUGGUCAAGAUGACUCUUACAUAUCUCCAUCUACAUCAACUCAAGAACCUAUUGCUCAACCAAUAAUAAGCCAUCACAUUGCAAAAGACCAUCCAAUUGAUCAAAUUGUGGGCGACAUUAGUAAGGGCGUUCAAACUCGUUCUCGUGUUGCCUCUUUUUGUGAAUUUUAUUCUUUUGUGUCCUCUAUUGAGCCUAAUCAUGUAGAUGAAGCACUCCAAGAUCCCGAUUGGGUGAAUGCUAUGCAUGAGGAACUAAAUAAUUUCACCCGAAAUAAAGUUUGGGAAUUAGUUGAGAGAUCCAAGGGUUACAAUGUUAUAGGUACAAAGUGGGUCUUUUGCAACAAGUAAAAUGAAGAUGGGGUUGUUGUAAGAAACAAAGCAAGACUUGUUGCUCAAGGCUAUACUCAAGUUGAAGGAUUGGACUUCGGUGAAACCUUUGUGCCCGUUGCAAGAUUAGAGGCUAUAAGAAUCUUGCUAGCAUAUGCAUGUCAUCAUAAUAUAAAGUUAUAUCAAAUGGAUGUCAAAAGUGCUUUCUUGAAUGGCAAGAUUAGCGAACUAGUGUAUGUCGACCAACCUCCCGGUUUUGAAGAUGUCAAAAAGCCGGACUAUGUAUACAAACUCUCAAAGGCUCUUUAUGGUCUAAAACAAGGCCCCCGUGCUUGGUAUGAGAGGCUAAGAAAUUUUCUCAUCUCUAAGGGAUUUAAAAUUGGGAAAGUUGACACUACACUUUUCACUAAAAGGAUUGGCAAGGAUAUCUUGAUUUGCCAAAUAUAUGUUGAUGAUAUCAUCUUCGGAUCCACUAAUGAAAGCUAUUGUGAAGAAGUGAAAUGAUGUCUAGGGAGUUCGAAAUGUCUAUGAUUGGUGAAUUAAGCUUCUUCCUUGGUCUUCAAAUUAAGCAAUUGAAGGAAGGCACAUUUGUGUGCCAAUCAAAAUAUGUGAAAGACCUAUUGAAGAAGUUUGGGAUAGAAGAUGCAAAACCAAUCAAGACCCCUAUGGCCACUAAUGGGCAUCUUGAUCUUGAUGAGGGAGGUAAACCGGUAGAUUUAAAGCUUUAUAGAUCCAUGAUUGGUAGUUUACUUUACCUUACCGCAUCUGGGCCCGACAUCAUGUUUAGUGUAUGCAUGUGUGCAAGGUUUCAAGCCGCUCCUAAAGAAUGUCAUCUGACGGCCGUGAAGCAAAUCUUGAGAUAUCUAAAGUAUUCACCGAAUAUUGGUCUUUGGUAUCCAGAGGGUGCUCAAUUUGAAUUGGUUGGUUUUUUGGAUUCCGAUUAUGCUGGUUGCAAGGUUGAUAGAAAGAGCACCUCCGGAGGUUGUCAACUUCUUGGUCGAUCUCUUGUAUCUUGGUCAUCAAAGAAACAAAACUUCGUAGCACUUUCUACCGCCGAAGCGGAAUAUAUCUCGACGGGAAGUUGUUGUGCUCAACUAUUGUGGAUGAAGCAAACUCUUCUUGAUUUCAGCUUGGAUUUCAAGGAAAUUCCACUCUUAUGUGAUAAUGAAAGUGCUGUGAAGAUUGCUAACAAUCCGGUUCAACAUUCUAGAACCAAGCACAUCGACAUUAGACAUCACUUUCUUAGAGAUCAUGUAAGCAAAGGGGAUAUCAAAAUUGAUGGAAUUAGUACAAAUGACCAAUUGGCGAAUAUCUUCACAAAGUCAUUGGAUAAACAGAGGUUUUGCAAAUUACGGAGUGAGCUUAAUGUCAUUGACUUCUCAAAUGUGGCUUAAAACCAAACACAAUUUCUUUUUAUGCAUCAUGCAAUUCUUUCUUGUCUAACUCUAUAUUUGUGUUGUUGCAUUUUUUUAUCUCAUAAAGGACAAUUUUCCGAUGAGCCACGAACCCUUGAUGUUAUCCCCAAUCUUUAUCACAAAAGAAGAUUGCAGAAAAAGGGAAGAAAAGUUUCUGUCUGAAGUGGCGGACCGUCCGCUGUCCGCGGACCAUCCAGGAUAGCGACCGCGGACCGUUCGAUAAAGGAAACUGAAACUUUUCAGCUGACAGUUCAGUUUUUCCUCAAUCGGCGGACCGUCCACGCUAUUCCCUGUGGACCAUCCGCGACGGGGACGCCACAGUGGACCCACGCCUCGCGUGCCUUAUCUGGACGGGUCUUGACCCUUUCUCCUCCAACCGGUCAAAACAUGUUGUCUUUCAUCCCCUUUCUCCUCCACUUCUAGAGGAAGAUCCUCUCCUAGGGUUAAGCUUUGAAGACUUUCCCGGACCGUCCGAAGAAGGAUUCCGAAACGUCCGUAGGAUCCUUACCAUGACUGGACGGUAUUCCUUCAAUCUCUUUUGGUUUUCUUGGUUGUUCAAUGAAGAAGAAGGACGGUUAGGGUUUCAUGUGGAUUUGUUGAUUUGUCCAUGGAUAAGGGUUUGCAUGUUGGGGAUUCAUCUCUAUCUUCUUCUGUGAACUCUCUCAAUCAUCAGUACCAUUGGAAAUCAAGAGAUUUGGGGGAAGGAUUUUCAUGUUGUUCUAGAUCUCGGGGUCAGCCCGAUGAACGGCAGACCAUCCGGCAUUACCCGGCGGACCGUCCGCGGUUCCUCGACGGCUGCCUGAGAGCCCUAGAAUCUUAGAGAUAACAGCAAGUGUCAUUCUCUUUGUAUCAUUGCAUAAACUAAUAACAAUUCUCUAUAUCAUUGAUAGUGGCCGUGUUGGCGUAUCACAAUGGCCUUGACUCAAAAGCUGAAAAAGGGAAGUUCAUUUAAGCGGCCUUGGUUUGAGGAUGAUGGGAUUCUGGAGAAGAGGAUUCUAGAGAUGAUGAUUAUGCUCCCAGUGAUGCUGAAGUGGAAUCCUCAGCGGCGUUCUCAAUGCAUGUUGAUGAAGUGAUUGAUGUGACCAUACACACAACACCCAAGCGAAAAUGGAACAUGGAGACCUACACCAGAGAGAGGAUACCUUAUCAAUUCAGUCUUCCCCGUACGACAUCCAACCUGUUCUUUCAUACAUUUAGACAGCUUAAACCUGAUUCAUGGAAGCAUGUUCACAAAUAGGAAUUUGAACGUGUCAGGAUUGCAGAAGACACUAAUGGGUAAUUGAAAGCAUCUAGGCCCAUAAUUUGAGUUUUGGUAAUAAAUGACAACCCCUUGAGGACUAAUGUUUUUCAAUGAGCAAUAUUGAGUGUAGGUUAGUCCCGUGGAUGAGUUGUGGCCAUGAUUCUUAGUAUGAUGACAUUCAAAUUUGAUUUGAUGAUGGAAGGCUCAAGGCAAAGGUAUAAAAUAGGGUUUUUCCUUUUUGCCGGUCAAACAGGCACUUAGUGGAUGAACAAUAUGACCGGUUUUAAUAGGAUAGAUGGUCGUACUAUUAAGAGGGGUCAAUUCUCCUAUUGCUUGAGGGUUCUAUAGUGCCUCUUUGCUCAAAAGAAUGCAUUGCAUAUCAAAGUUUUGAUCUAAGAUGAGCAUAUGGUUUCUUUUAUAUUGAAAAGAUCUCUUUUGAAAGAGUUUCUGUGCCAAUGGUGGACAGUCCGCAAUUCAUUUAGCGGACGGUCCGCUAAGGUCCUCCAGAAACUAUUUCUGCCAAGUGUUUGAACCGCGGACGGUCCGCAGUUCAUUUAGCGGAUAGUCCGCUAAGGGUCUCCAGAAACUAUUCCUGUCGGGUGUUUGAACUACGGAUGGUCCGCAGUUCAUUUGGCGGACGGUACACUAGACGCGGACGGUCCCGACUUGUACCGCGGAUGAUCCGCGACCCCGUAACGGUUUUUCUCUGACACGCAUUAAAUGCCAAUAGAGCCGUUGGACUUUGUACUGCGGACGGUCCGCGGUUUCCCAGUUUUGCAUGAAAUUUUACUGUAAUGGCUAGUUUUGGUGGUGGGGGUUAUAAAUACCCCCCACCGGUUGUUGGAGCUCUCUCUUGGUUCUUUGGACUACAUUUAUGAUCUUUUGAGUCUCUCUCCACCUCUCACUCACUUGCAUUGAAUUGAGAUUGCUUUCUAAUGAGUUUGAGAGGCUUCUAGUACAUUGCAUUGAUUUCUUGAGCUUUGGGGCACUAGGGAGUCUUUAAGCAAGCGUCAAUUGGCUUAUUACUCUUGGAGGUUGCCGCCUCCUAGACGGCUUGGAGCUUGUGGAGCCGUUGAGCACUUCAAGGAGAUUGUGAAGUUGCUCCGGCUAUUUUUGUGAGAGGUUUUGUGCUCACCUCAUCGGAGUGAUGAAGAGUAACUCUAGUGGAAACGAGGUUUGGAGAGGUUCUUUAAUUUAAUUCAGCUUAAACAUCAAGCGGUGUCUUGAUAGAGAAGCGAUUGAAUCAUUGAAUCCACCUCAAUGUGGAUUAGGGGUGACCGGCAAGUCAUCGACACCACGGGAAAACAUCGGUCUCUCUCUCGGUUGUCUUCUUGCUCUCUACCUUCGUAGUAGUACUUACUUCAAGUGAAUGCUUUCAUCUAUCUUGUUUUAUUACUUGUCAUCCUAGCUCAUCUUGACAUACCUAGUAGUAGAUUUACUAGUUGUUGCUUAUCUUAUGGGUUUCUAAUUAAAGUUUAUUAAGUAUUGUGUUUUAGCUUAAAACCUCCUAUUCACUCCCCCUCUAGUCGGUAUCCUAGAUCCUACAGUAAUCAGCUCUGACACAUCGGCAUUUUAGAGUGUCAAUAUCCUUUAUUUCUUAAAAUAUAUGUUUGUAUAUUUAUAUAGCUAACGAUUCAUCGUACCACAGAUUUUCAGAUGGAUGGUUUAUUCUACAGUACAUAGCAUGGUGGGAUAGUCCUCGAAACGUACAUAUCUAUACAGUGAGUAAAUAUACUUUGUUGUACAUUCCUUUGUGAUUUUACAAUAUACGAUAAAUCCCAUCACAUGAGAGCUAAACUUGAAGUAAGCACUCGUCUUACGUAUAGGAUGCUAUUACGGUGCGGUGCAACUUCUUCAUCGAUCUUUUGGUGCACGAAGCGAAUGCCUGGAGGACAAGACUACCGGGCAUUGUGAAACAUUAUCUUUAGCGCAUCACAGGCAAAGAAAUAGGAUAGAUGGGGGUGGUCUUUGGAUAACCUAUAUUCGUACUUGUUCCACAUGAUUGUUGUCCUACUGAAUCCAAUGUUGAAGGUUGUUCAAGUCGCCGUUAGAGCUUGCUAGAAGCGAAUACGAUGUAAAGGUGAUUAACUGCCAUAUAUUGUUUGGGAAUUGGUCACAUGAUUAUUCUUUUGCAAGUUGAGAUAAAGAACAUCCAAGCGUACUUUUACUUAUGUUAUUACUCAUUGCAAAGUCAUUUUUUAUUUCACAUUGGAGGCAUUUCGCAUGUAUUUAAGUUUGUAGAAGUAAAUAUUUCACAUGAUAAUGUUUGAUGCUUAUAGACGAAUUUUGUUUUGCCCUAGCAACCCACGGGCACGAUCCUAGUGUUGGAAAAAAAAAUUGGAGUGGUCAAAAAGACCGAGGGUAAGGGAACACGAAAAAGGAUAGCCUACGUCUCGGUCAUCUUCGCGCCUUGAUCGGAGACGCAACCAACUCAUGGUUGCGGUCCUAGAUCGCCCAGCGCAAGAACAAAAGGGGGAGGGGGGCUCCGGCUUGUUUCAAGGUCGACGAACUCACCAAAAAGGCUCUUGUACCCCAGCACCGCCAAACCAAUCCUUGGUGGCGUUAGAGUCAUUUGAAGGCAGUGGCGAAGGGAGGGGGGGCACGGGGGGCCUGGCACCCCCUGACCCUUUGCAGCAUCCGCCCCUACCCCUGGUGGCCUGGGCCUCUCCUGGCAGGCUAGCACCCCCUGGUGGCCUGUGUGCCUAUCGGCCUGGCACCGGUCACCCCUAGCGAGCGGCCUGCCCGGCUGGCCCAAUAAAAAAUUAGAAGCCCCUCUGAAGAGUCCUGGCCCUGGAAUAGUCUGCCCCUGGUAGCAGAUUAGCAAAUAGGCACAUCAGGUCAAAUCGUAUUCCGCCCCUGGUAGCAGUUUUUUGUUCCUAGCUCGCGCCGCCAGUCGAAUCGUAUUCCGCCACCGCCAGUCAAAAAAGCAAAUAGGCACAUCAGGUCAUCCGUCAUCAGGACAUGAGCACGGAGCACCAGAGUACGAGGAUAAGGAUGAAUGGAUGAUGCCAAUUGCCAUGAUGGAUCCAAGCCAUGCACAGCAGGCCAGCAACGUCUCAGGAUUUGUGGUUCGUUUUUCUAGACUACAGAUCUUAGGGAUUUUUUUAUGUGUUUGAUGCAUUUAUUUAUGUGUUUCAUGCCUCAUGGUGCAUGUACAGAUGAUUUUCUUUCCAAUUCAAGAAUGUCUCAAAAGCGGAUGGAUUCUUGCACAAAACAGAUGACCGGAAUUUUGUGCACAAAGCAGGCUGCUUUUUUGCAUCUGACUGAUCACUAACGUGACUCGCUGUUGUUUUCUUCGCCAGCGUUAGAUUGCUGCUGUCCCCAGGUAAUCCAUAAUCAUAAAUCAUCCAGUGAUAUUCUCUUAUCUAAUUAACAGUCAAGUCAUUAGUGAUUCUAAAUUUCCCUCUCUAAUUUAAGUACUAGUGAUAUUAUUACAGCGUACAAUCUUGCUGCUAGUCGAAGAGCUAAAUUUAAGUUGAUAGAUAUUUAAUUUUAUUUUGAUUAAGACUUGUGAAACAUGCUAUUAUUAUAUCAUUAUAUGUGACUAAAAUCAGCUCACAUGACUAUCAAUUCUACGUUGCUUUGUCCAUUGCUCCCCUUAACUCAAAUCCUGGCUCCGCCCCUGUCUGAAGGCUGCUGCCGUCUCGACCUCGUCGUUCCUGGACAAACAAAGAGGAGGCCAGAAGGAUGUCGUGUACAUCUACGGCCUGCACCGACACCGGCAACCCCUUCACCAACCUCUGCACCAACUAAGAUGGCUGGAUCGGUGUCUACUGUCGCUGCCAGUUGAUUCCUCAACCUUCUCUUAAUUGUGCUCAUGUUAUUAGGUGUUAAAGAUCCUAAGUUUAAGUAAUGUGGUUUCCUACAAAAGAUGCACAAGAAUUGUUGUGCUGAUCCUACCACUCGUUGUGCCAUGUUGCAACAGAUUUGCUUAUGUGUGGAACUCCUACCUAUCGGCAACAUUGUCUUUUUUUUGCUACACUGAUCAAUAUCCAAGCCAAUACCGAUGCAUUAAUGACGCACACAUGCAAAUCCCUUAAUUUUCCUCCCUGCGACUUAAUAUGAUCAUUGGAAUGAGAACACGACUAAGAAAUCGGCAAAAGUGAAAAAUCAUGAUACGUUAAGAAAUAGGCCUGGAGGGCUCUAUCCUUCAUGCCCCCAAUGACUAUAGCCUAAGGGAAGGGGAACUAUAGUUAUGUCAUAUGUUUUCAUUACUAUACUUGCUGCAGUUAAAGUGUACUGAAAUUUGAAAGAAGAUAGGGAUUACAGAAUUAGAUUUUUAUCAUUACUCACUGUCACACCUACAAAAAAGCAUCUUAUAUGUCUAAAAUAUAGUUUACUAAAUAAACAACUCGCAAACAAUUCAUUUUUGGUGAAGAUAUCGAGAUUGGUAUUGGCAGUGACGCACCUUGGCUUGUUUGUUCAGGGUGCGUUUACGUCUCUUAAGAUACACCUAUGGUCGGCACCCGAUAUAUAGACAUGUAGCGCUGCAAGAAGAUCAAAGCCCGAGGCUUCUCUAAGCUUUCAACUGAAGAACAGAACUGGCACAGUCAUGCAGCUUACAUUGAGUGAGAAGACAUGAUAACAACUCAGCUAGCUGGGCAUCUAGAAUGUAGCACACAUGGGGCCAUAUUCUCUUAUCUGUUCCUACAGAGAUUAGUAGAGUAGUUGGGGUAGAGAGGUCUUAGAGGCAACAUAAUUAUGAAAUGCAAUUAAAAGGAUUUAACAAAAUAAAAUGCUAACAUCCUCCUCCCAUAGGCACGUACUGGCGUUGUAGUGAUAUAGUUAACAAAUCAACAUCAAAAGUGUUGAUCAAGCAUGUAUGUGACUGUUGAUCAUGCAAAUUGGUGCUUAUGUUCAAAUUACGAUCACGGAGAGGAAACUCAUGAUACCUUUAACACUGCCGCACGUCGCAACAGAAAAUGAGCGUCCAUGCACCAGAACCAACAAAAUCCCUUCGUGCUUCAAUCCUGAUCAUGAAAAUAUAAUCAAAGGCUUCGGUGAAGGUAUAGUUAGUAUAUGGAAUAUAAUAGGCAUGAAAAACAAAGGUGGCAGAAGGAAAGAAAGUCCCCGGAGGCCGCUUGAAGAAAGAAGACUAUCAAACCUGACUGUAGGAGGAAAACCCUAUAGAUGUGGAAGCUCCUAGCAGGGUUAAGUCCAAAGUGCUCUUCUGGAUGAGUUAAUUGGAUCUACCGAAUCAUAGACACCAGCACCCACAACCUCCAACGUCCAGGGCAUUAUGGAUUUUCUCACUAGUGAUGGCCCAAAAUUUUGCAUGACAGAAAAUGUAGUCCUCUGGGUGGAUAUAUACCAUCCACAUGAAUAUCAAGUACCUAAAAUAUAAUGUUUUUAAAAAGAACAAUCAUAGAAAAGGUUCCUACGUCGAGUUCAAGAUCCUUCAACAUAUACUUUUCGCAUUUGAUCUGGAUUUCAAGCAGGCAUAUACUUACACGGAUUUUAGUUUACCCUUAAAACAUAUCAUUCAAAUAGUAUGCUUUAAAGUAUAAACAUGGUCAUGCCUGCGUGGCUGUGUAUCAUGGAUAGAUCAAAACUACUACAGGUCCCGUUUGGUUCACCCUGCUUAUUUUAGCACUCGUUACAUCGAAUAUUUAGAUACUAAUUAGAAGUAUUAAAUGUAGACUAUUUACCAAACACAUUACAUAAGUGGAGGCUAAAUGACGAGACGAAUCUAUUAAGCCUAAUUAGUCCAUGAUUUGACAAUGUGUUGCUACAGUAAACAUUUGCUAAUGAUGGAUUAAUUAGGCUUAAUAGAUUCGUCUCAUCGUUUAGCCUCCAUCUAUGUAAUAGGUUUUGUAAAUAGUCUACGUUUAAUACUCCUAAUUAGUAUCUAAACAUUCGAUGUGACACGUGCUAAAAAUAAGCAAAGGAAACCAACCGCCCCCUUAAUCAAACCAUGUCGUCCAUAAUUCCACACCGCCAAUUAAGACGGCCAUGCAUGAGACGUUAUUAGCCAUUUGCUUAUAAUAACCAGUACUACUGAGAAUAAACUAGCAGGUGAGCGCCAACGUGGAAUCGCCUCUUUUGAUAAUCUGAACGCUACUGGAACGCAACGUGGAAUCGCCCACUGGAUGCAAAGAUUUACCUUGCCAAACAGGUACUGAUUGAUAUUACUAGUACCUUCAUCUUCUCCUCACAGACGAGGAGGUUCAUCAUACAACGGGAGGAGCGAUGGGAUCCGGGUUGCGACGCGGCUUGCAGUUGCAGCACCCGGUAGAGGAAGAUUGGAAUUGGAUCGCCAUGUGGACGAUACAAGCUCAGGCGCGAGGAGAUCCGAUCGGCAGGCCAGUGGUCGAGUGGCAUACGAAGAGGUGGCGGCGCGGAGAGGGAUGUGGAGAAGAUCCAAUCGGCAGGGAGGCGAUAUAUUUGUGUGCCAACGGAUGUUGAGGGGCGACCACGGUCUGGCGUGAUUUGUGGGAAGAAAAUGACGGGGUCCCUGCAUGGAUAAUCAAAGCAUUUUGUUGCCGUUUUCUUCAAAUUGCUCUGGUGAAGCUUUUUGGUGAUCACCUGAAUAUUCGGUGGUGUUUGCAAAAUAGUGAUGGUGAAAUCUUCUUGUGGACAUCGGAAUUUCCGUAGUAAUUUUCAUUGCACUCGCUGGAAUAUCUGGUUUGCAGUGACUACAUUUUCGACACAGUUUCGUGGUUCAUAAUUUGUCGAUAGUCUUUUGCUUCGGAUUCUGAUUUUUGAUGGUUUUGGGCUCUAGGAAAACCUUUUGAAGAGCUCAAGCCCAUUUGAUCUAAAAAAAUUGAUGGAACAUGUUCAAUUCAUUGCUCUUCUGACUGCGCUGAGGCGACUUCUAUUUCUUCAUGUCUUUCUUCUUUCCAUUUUUUGAUGUUUUUAACAUAUCCUUUUGGGGUGUUUGCUCAUCCAUGAUAUUCUUUGUAUCCAUGAAACUACAACAAUGUAUACGAGCUAACCAUUGUAAUUCCAAUAAAUAUGUUAUCAUUAAUCAUUAAAAUCGUACUAAUCUUAUGCUAUUUAUCCACGAAAGAGAGGCUCCACAUCCUUAUAGCCCUUGCACUUGUGGCCCAUCUUGCACACCUGGCCCAAAUAUGUUCAGAGCUGUUCAUAUUCAUCCAUGGAUGCAUGACCUGGAGGGGGAGUAGAGAAUUGGAGAACAGCAAGAGAUCGAGCGAGACGAAUUCGUCGGCAGAUUAAUGCUCGCAGAGAAAGAAGAAGAUUCAGUUUACAAGAUUACUUCAAUGAUGGUCUCUUCCCUUAUCAAAAAAAAUAAAAAAAAUGAUGCUCUGUUCCUCACAGAGUCAAUAUCCCGUGUCCAAAUCACAUUGGGCCGAACCCAUUCUGGGCCGGAACUAACACACUGGACUUAGUGGCCCGUUCAUGGUCCUGCAGUGCGUUUCCCUUCAGCAGCCGGCAGCUCACCAUCUCCAGGAACAAACAGAGGUGCUGACAAGGACAGGGAUGCCAUCACCAUGAGACGUCGAUUAACGAUCACAUGUCAACAUCUCGUGUCCAAAUCACCGUCUAUCAAAGGCAACAUGACACACUUUCUUCAGCGAUUACAUAAAUUGUUACCUGGAUUAGUCAACUUGAUGGCAGACUGGUCACUGGAUUCUCCCAAUAGAACAUGUCAACAUCAUGAACGCCACUAUUUGUACGCUAUCUGUUUAGCUGGGCGCCUGGCUGGCCUUCGCACGAACAUUCUUCAACUUCCAAAAAUUCAAGGUCCUGUCAUCCGUUCAACAAAUAUCCCGUCUGGACAGUGGAGUGGUGGUCCGGCCACUGUUGCGCGUCCAAUUAUAUUACACUCAGAAAAAACACAAGAGAGACUCUUAUGGUUCUCCUGUGAGGUUCGCAAUGUACUGUCUUGCUCGAAAAUAUCCAAGAUAUGCUUCAACGACAAACUUAUCAUUGGCUGGUGCAUGCACAACAAAAGGGUCAGUCUAUACAGCACUCAGGGUGAUUCAGGAGCCCUGAUCACUCUGUUUUUGGUUGCUAAAACACACGAUUCCGAAUAACAGAAAAAUCAUGUGCUACAGGAGCAGCUGGCACACGAAUUCAGGACCCUUAGAUUCAAAUCUGACGGUUCAGAAUAAAAGGGAAGAAUAAGGCCAAUAAUUGUACUAGAAAAUUGUAUUGAUCAAAUGUUUUGGCUUUCUGAAUGAAACUGAUACCAAAUUGAUACAAAUGUUUUGGCUUUGAUGAACUAGCUGGCAUCCAGCUUAACAAACAGAUACAAAUUGAAUGAAACAAAAACAAAUUAUAUUAGACAAAAGGUUGCUAAUAAAAACCUUCAGAGCUCAAAUGAGCCACUGAACCCAAGGAUGCCGGUGAACAUCAUCAUCAAAGGCUAACAUGCUAACAUUUUUCACAAAGUCGCAGAAGAUCUGUUCUUCACCAAUCAUGACAUACCAAGUACACGGAUUGAGUCAUCAUCAGGUCAUCAAGGCAAUGGAUGAAACCAUGGUCGAGCUGAGGAUCAAUUGCAACUCGAAAGAGUGGAACAUCUUCAGGUCCAAAAUCCUCUCCAGAGCACAGAUAGAAAUAGUAUUAAAGAAAAAGCAGAGCUUUGCUAAAGAAAAUAUGAAACUAUAAGUAAUCAGACUAGCCAAUAUUUUAUAUGACAAAAAAAAUAAAGCAUUUGGACAGUUACUUGGAUACCCUAACAAAAGCCUUUCCACGAAGGUGACGAAGCUACAUUUCAAACAGAGGUAAUAAUUAUAAGAAAAAUUAAGCUACAGCAGAUCCAAAAAAGGACAUAUUGGAUAACAUAUAUAUAGAUGCAGACAAGAGAAAUAAAAUUAACAUGCAAAAGGCAAAAUUAACAGCUCAACAAAAUUUUUCUAUAGUUAGUCAGAUAAUAAAAUUAUUUCUAGCUGUUAGAAACCCCUCAAAUGCAAAAAUACCCUUCAGAUUUCAAAAUUAAAAAUUCUAACUCAUUUACAUGACAUAUUUAAAUAUUGACAGGCACUAAAGCACUGUAAAUUAAUGAAAUUUAAAUUGUAAAUGCUAUAGCACACUAAAUUAGACUCAGUAUUAUGUCUUUUGAUAUCUAUCUGAUGCAGAUAAACAAAUGAACAAAUUGGAUAACAGAUAUAUUGAUGCAGAUAAUAGACACAAAUGAACAUGCAAAUGGCAAAUUUAACAGCUUAAUGAAUUUUUUCUAUAGUUAUAACAAAUUUAUUUCCCAAAGUGAGUAACCCCUCAUAUGCAAACACAACUAUCAGAUUUCUAAAAAUGGAAAAAUUCAAUCUCAUUUACAUGAUAUAAUAAUACAAAUUAUAGUAACUGAACAACUGUGAAUAAAAAUAGCUUAAACUAUAAAAUUUUUAAGCAAGCAUAGUUAGGCCCAGUACAUAUGAAACUGAUAUGUAACUGAUUAAGAUGAAGGAAACAUACAAAAUUAAAGUCAGCUUUUGAGUUUCUAUAAGCAGUGAACUAACAAAUAUAUUCGUGUAUAGUUAGUAAUCCCUCAAAUUUUAUCCGAAACUCAAAAUCACAAGUACUAAAAAUCACCUCCUUCUUCAAUGCCAAGAUAAGUACAGUUGUCACGAGUGAUAAGAACCAUGUCUCUAACAAAACCUUUUGAUGAAAGUGAACCCAUCUGCAAACAUGAAAGUGAACAGACUCAUACAGAGAUAACUUAGCUCGAAAAACAAUGCAAAAAUUUCCAAAAUAAAUAGAUACACAUAUUUUUUCUAUAAUUAGUAAAAUAAAAAAUAGUUUGGGCAAGUGUGCAACCCCUCAAAUGCAAAUCCAACCAACAGAUUUUUUUUAUAGUUGGUAAAAAUAGCAAAUAUUCUUGGGCAAGUGUGCAACCCCUCAAAUGAAAACCCAUAUUUACAUAACAAAGUUAUACAUUUUACAGUAAUUAAAACACUGUAAACGAAUGAGUUAUGUACUGUAAAUAAUAUAGCACACAUAUUAUAAAUGAUAUUGUAUGUGCUAUUAUUCCUUAAAUAAAAUGGGUUAUCAUUCAAAAUAGGAACGAUUUAGUGAUAGCAUAUAUACCUAUCAUAGUUAUGGGCCAUGUUCUCAGUGAAAAAUAUCAAGAUACCUAGAUAAGAAAAAUACUUUAUGUAUAGAAACCAUAACAAUAAUCACAUAUGCAAACAAAGCUAGAAAGAUAUUCAUGAGAUGAAUUAAAAAAGGAAAUAGAUCAGAAUCCAAAUGUUUUUGCUCCAUUCUUAAUUCAAGAACAAAACCCCUAAACUUAAUUUAUCUGGAAAAUCAAAAUAAAUUGACAAAAUAUGCGCAUAUGUGAUUUGGCAUUCAGAACAUAUGCUAAAACUCUGAAAAACUGAGAUCUAUCUAAAAAAAUGUUUAGAAAUCAUACUGGAUAGUAAAGUAUAUGCCAAUUUUUAGAAAGGUAAUACAAAUAGAUCAUAUUUUCAAGUCCUUAGUAACAUGUUCUAGAAUAUACUGACAAUGGUUUACAGGAUAUCAACCUUAGUAACCGGUAAUGACAGAGAUCAUAUUUCAUAUUUUCUUAUUUAACAUACUGAUGAGGGCAAUUGAAUAUCAUAUUGCUUUAAUAUCAAUUGAAGGGCAAAUUAAACAAUUUCUUGAUAUGAGCCAUCAUGUAGCACAUCAUGAAAACCCAAGCAUGGUGUGUAAUAUCUAGAUCAAAAGGAAGGAGAUAAAUCUUCUUGACAUACUAAAAAUUGAUCAAAUCCUAGCCAACUCGAAGAACUCUUCCACGUAAAAACUCAACAACUUGUUGGGGAGGUUUCCUAUAGCAACAAAAAAAAGGUACAAUGAAACCAAUAGCAUUUGCAAACUAAAAUAUUCUCAGCUGAUUUCUAUUGCCAAUCAUAUAUUUGGCUUCCGAAUUAUACCAUCCGGAUUGAAAAAUAAAAUGGAUGUGAUAGGCAUAUAAAAAUAUAGACAUUAAGUUUCUAUGCUCUGCCCCAAAAAAAGAAUUUUAGGGGUUCCUACUGCAACACAAAAGAUUCAAACUGAAAUGGGCGAAAUAGGCAAAGUCAAAAAACAUUCUAUGCACAAGAUAGGCAUAUUAAAAGAUUAACAGAUAUUUUCUAUGGUUAAUAAAAUACAGAAUUUUAGAUGUUCCUACUUAAACCACACAUAUGCAAACAGAAAAUGGAUGACAUAUACAAACUAGAAAUUAUCAGAUUAUUUAUAUUGUUAGUCAAAUAACAGAUAAUUUGGGUUUCUAUUUAAACCCACUAGAGCCAAAUGAAAAUGUCAAGCUUUGCAUAUCAGAAGAUUAGUGAUAUUUUGUAUGCAUAGUCAAAAUAGGAGAUUCUGCUACAACAAAUUAAAUAUGCCAUGUGGAUAUCCAAAAAAGAAUUUUUAGAAUAAAUUAGAGUAGGUCAGAUUGACUCAGGGACACAAAGAAAAUCAUCUUAAUCCUAGUUAUGUGGAUAUUUAUAUACAUGAACACAAAGUACAAAUGGCAAUGAGAAUAUCCAUGUAAAUGUAGCACAUUUGAACUGUAUAUGAAUUCUACCUACUUUAGAUAAUGCAUUUAGACACAAGAAUGCUAAAAAUGGAUGCAGGGAACAAAUCAGAGCAAAGAAUUACCAGAUGAUGAGAUGAGAAUAUAAAUGAACUGAACUGCAUGUGUAAUAUGCUUUUUUUUAUAAUUACCUAUCUAGCAUACAAAGUAGAACUACCUAACCAGUUUUUCUAUGAUCAGUCAAAUUGAAAAGCGAGUGGGCUCCUAAUGAACCCAACACAUGCAAUGGAUUAUGGGAAAAACAUAUAAAAAUACCAGAUUUGGUAGAUGCUUUUAUGGUCAGUCAUAUUGCAAAGUGAGCAGGUUCCUAGCGAACCCCAACACAUCCGAAGGAUUAUGUAAAAAUUAGAGAAAAAUACCAGAUUUGGCAGAUGUUUUCUAUAGUCAGUCAAAUUGCAAAUUUAGGGGCCUCCUAAUGAACCCCGACAUAAUGCAAAGGAAUAUGAUAAUCAAACAGAAAAAAUGCCAGAUUUACUAGAUGUUUACUGUGGUAAACUACUGACGAACCCUGCCGUAUGCAAAUGAAUAUGAACAUUAGAUGACAAAAAAUUGCAUUAGCAUCUAGGCCUUCCAGGAAAUGCUUGAGCAAGGCCUGCUAUGGAGGAGCCAAGGAAGUAAUGAAGUUGGAUGUACACCUGACCAAGCUGCGGAUCUGUAGCAACAAAACUGAACAAAUGGAGUUAGAUCGAGAAAUGUAAGAUCCUACUAGAAACGAAGAAAUCUAGGAACAGAAAAGGGAACCUAAAAUCGCCAAAUCAAAGCAUGAAACCGCCGCCUAAAUCAAUUCCAUGAGGAAAAAAACAGAAUCAAAUAACAGAUCGAGAAGAGAAAUGGGAGGAAGCAAAGAAUUGCGGAACUUAAGGGUAGAUCUGCCGCGCAAAAUACAAUGAGACAUAAAAUGACUUAGAAACAAUGAAUAAAUCAAACCGCAAAGAGCGACCCAAUGGGAUUCAAGGAGAUCAGGAGAAAAAAAAAAGGAAGUAACGGGCGAAUCACCUCAACUGGGCGCUCACCUGCGAGAUCUCCUCACCUUCACAGAUGCAACACGAACAAGAGAAAUGGGAAAGCCAAAAUGCUCCUGGCACUGAAAUAAACUAAUCGGGUGCAGUAAUAACUAAAAACAAGGACCCACAUAAAAGUACAAGAAAGAACUAGACCAGAUCCAGCGCGUAGGAUACAGAUCAACAAAGGAUCGGACGGCAGCAAAUUCGAGCGAUGGCACCCCAAAAAUACCCGAACAACCUAUAGCUUUUCCCCAACAAAAAGGAAAUUAAAUAGCUCACAAAUACCACAAAAAUGGCAAAAUUUAAGUGGCUCACACAAAAGCUGUCCUUGUUUCUUUUAGUUCCAUUUUCUCAAAAUACUUCUGUGGUAUUAUGUUAACGUUACUUCGUUCAAUUGAACGUUGAGGCCUACGUACACGGUACAUCUACAUCCGUGCAUGACUUCAUCAUCCAUGGUGCAAAUAUGCGUGUGAUCGGUUGAGACAGAAGAUAAUCUUCAAUUUUCUAAAAAGAUAUACCCGUGCAGUGUUUGCCAGUGCUAAUGGGCCUUGUCUAUCACAAGGGAUCAUCUAAGCACUUCCGCAAUAUCGCUGUCCACGGUUAGUCAUACGCUGAUGUAGUUUCUAACGAUCUGGCAGCUAUAAACCGUACUACCGUGUGUCGAUCUUGUCAACCGUAAUAGCCAACUGCAGCUCGCUAAUUUUGACCCUCAACCUCUCCAAUUAAGCUAGCCUCUAUUAUCAACCUUUAGAAGAUGCGUUCAUUUUGUACACAACUUGUCCUUUUUUUCCUGCGUAAAUUCUGCCACAAGAGAUAUUUGUUGAAUUGCAAAUAAAUACAAGACGUACAGCACAUGUUCUUCUGUUAAGGACAACCAAGCAAGCACAUGUAUUGGCCGCUGUAACAUCAGCGUCAACGAUUGAUCCACGUGUGACCAGCGGAGAGAGAGAGAGAGAGAGAGAGAGAGAGAGAGAGAGAGAGGGAGAGUACUAUCUUGUGAAGAGAUCUAAGUAGGUUUAGCAACAGCAUGAUACCAACCCUACAUAUAUAAAUGGUGGCUUGCAUGAUUGCAUCCAUCGAAACAAGGACGAACAUGACAGGAAACUAUAUUGUAUCUCAAGUACGUGAGAAAAUUGGAGUGCUUGACCGCGACCACAUUUGAAAAUAAACCAAACAAAACUAUAGACAUAGGAAUAGCACAAGCACAGUCGCCAUCAUCAACGACACACACUCGCACAAGGAACAAGUAAUACUGACAAAGUAGGAGGAAAAGACAAUAAUCAAUAGACGCUUAAGUGAGAAAUUGUAUCCACCCCACACAGGAACAAAACCAUAGGCUUUCGAGGGGUAACAACACUGAUCAUGCAUGUACACCCAAUAUGACUUUAUUUGGAAAUGUUUGAUUUCAUGAAUUGGGUGGUUCUUGACCUUCUCACUCAUAUUUUUGUUCGGUUUAAGAAAUAGAAUUCAGUUGAUCCAUUAUCACAUCAUCACUCACAAACACAUGGUUAACUUAAUAACAAGAAGUAGGUUUAUCGGACCGAAUUUCAUAGGAUGACUCCAUAAAAGAUGAGAGGGCCCAAGGUGCCUCGACCUGUUCGCCCACCUUCUUUUGUCUCGGUGUCUCUCCUCCAUUAGUCAUAUCUUCUGGUGCACACGUUAACUCGACGAGCUAUUGCACUCUCACAUCAUGUCAUGCACCACCAAACCAUCAUUAGUGUGUCUCUCGCAAUUGGUACCCUAUACUCGCCACCAUCACCGGACCGAUCCUACUAUCACCCACCUUCGCUUUGAGCUUACAAAACUCUAGUGAAGAUAUAUUUUUUUUAUUGAAUACAGUACAAGCGCAGAUGCUCACAUAAACACAAAGCACGCUUAUCCAGUCCCUAUGAACAUGGGAAUGGUAGCAAAUUCAGCACAUUUGUCUCGCGACAUAAAUGUUAAUUAUCACAGAGUUAUUUUUCCUAUAAAAUAUCUAGGAAAGUAAAAAUAUCAUGCUGCCUCGAAGACGCAAACCCAUACCAAGAAAUCGCGCUACAAGAAACCCAACCAACUGAAUAUUUCGCCACUUCAAUUAAACUCUCGCUUUAAUAAAACAUCACAAUUUUAAUCCUACUCUUGCUGGACCCCAGCCUAUAUAGAUAAGAAACAUGACCAAAGCUUCAAUCACGGUGCAAAUCAAACAACGGAGCUUGUCUGCAUCAAGUGCCAAUUGCAACACAGAAAAAUUCAGGUGCCACGGAAAUUGAUUGUAUAUAUGCCACCGUCAUUUCCAGCCACAUGCCGCGUGGCCUCUGUUCCGCCACGUCAUCGGCCGAUCCACCCAUAUGCCAUAGACUUUUUUUUUAAUUUUAAACCUUUUAAAACUAAAUGGAAAUAAAACAAGGGAGAAGAGAGAAGAAGAUGCGGUGGGAGAGGAAAGGUAGGAUGCGGAAUGGCCAGGGAAGGUGACGAGGUGCAUUAAUGAGCUGCGGCCCCCCACGUGACAGAGCUCGCUGAUCGCCUGCUCGGUGCCUUGGUUUCAGCUGAAGGCACGGUCACCCAGUGCACGUGGCGCGACUGAACCCAGUCCACGUCUGCACUUUGGCCAGCAUGGCAAUUUGGUCAGGCUACAUAUAGGGAGUUGCGUUAAAUCAUUUGGCGUGACUACUUAUAAAUUUCCAUUAUAAAUUUAGUUUGGAAGGAGUUAUUUUUAAAAAUUUAGUUUUAAAAGGGUUAAAAUAAAAAAAUUAUAUGUCAUAUCUCCCUUCUCCCUUCGGCUAGAUAUUUAAACAAUUAUUAUAACUGAACCAGUACGUUAUCCUCGCCAAGACGCCGCCGCCGUCCGGGACCUGCAGCCAGAGCCAGAGAAGCCAUGGCGCAGCGCCCGGACGCCGAGGCGCCCCUGCUCGGCAAGCCCGGCGCCGCCUCCCCACCGUCGCCGCCGGCGAAGCGAACCAAUAAGUACCCCUUCUUCUGCGCCGUGCUCGCCUCCAUGACCUCCGUCCUCGCGGGCUACAGUACGCACACAUUCAUCGCCUAGCUAGAUAUACGCAUUCUCUGCAUAUGUGUAUGUUUGCAUCUCCGUACCCCUGUCCUGAAUUGCGCGCCACGCCAUGGGCGGCAGACGUGGCGGUGAUGAGCGGCGCGCAGAUCUUCAUGGCGGAGGACCUCGGCGUCACCGACGCGCAGGUCGAGGUGCUCUCGGGUGUCAUCAACGUCUACUCGCUCGUCGGCGCGCUGCUGGCCGGGUGGACCUCCGACCGCCUCGGCCGCCGCCUCACCAUCGUGCUCGCCAACGUCUUCUUCCUCGUCGGCCCGCUCGCCAUGACGCUCGCCGGAGGGUACGCCGUCCUCAUGGCGGGACGCUUCGUCGCCGGCGUCGGCGUCGGGUACGCGUUCGUCAUCGCGCCCGUCUACGCCGCCGAGAUCGCGCCGGCGUCCUCCCGCGGCCUCCUCUCCUCGCUCCCCGAGGUAAGCUCUAAGCUGUGUGUUUGUGUUGCAGAUAGUGUGAGUGAUCUAAUUUCUAAACAACACUAAUUAGGACAAAUUGUUUGUGCAAUUAGGAGAAAUAAUUUGUUAAUUUUGUGGUAAAAAUGUUGCUUUCUUUGUUGGUUCUUGAAGAUCUUUAUCAACAGUGGAGUGAUGCUCAGCUACGUCUCCAACUUGGUCUUGUCGGGGCUGCCCGUGCACCUGUCGUGGCGGUUGAUGUUCGCGGCGGGGGUGGUGCCCACGGUGUUCCUGGCCGCCGGCGUGCUCACCAUGCCGGAGUCGCCGCGGUGGCUCGCCAUGAAGGGCCGGGUCGCCGAGGCCAAGGCCGUGCUCGACAAGACGUCGGACACGCCCGCCGAGGCCGAGCAGCGGCUGCUGGAGAUCGAGGACGUCGUGAACGGCGGCGGCCGGAGCGGUGAGGGCAGCGGUGGCGGCGCGUGGAAGGAGGUGGCGACGAAGGCCGGCGUCCGCCGCGUGCUGGCCAUCGUGCUGACGCUGCAGUUCUUCCAGCAGUCGUCGGGCAUCGACUCCGUGGUGCUGUACGGCCCGCGCGUCCUCGCCAUGGCCGGGGUCACCUCCAACACCCUGCUCCUGAGCCUGAACGUCCUCUUCGGCGUCGCCAAGGCCGGCUCCAUCCUCAUCGCCAUGGCGCUCGCCGACCGCGUCGGCCGCCGCCCGCUCCUCCUCGCAAGCACGGGCGGCAUGACGGCGUCCCUGCUCGUCCUGGGCUCCCUGUUCGCGGCGUUCACCGGCGCCAAGGACGACGCCGCGGUGGCCGCGGUGAGCUUCGCGGCCGUGGUUGCGUUCGUCGUGUCCUUCUCCGUCGGGUUCGGGCCGCUCGCCUGGGUGUACAGCUCCGAGAUCCUGCCGCUCCGGCUGCGCGGCCAGGGCGCCGGACUCGGCACCGCCAUGAACCGGAUCACGAGCGGCGUCGUCACCAUGACCUUCAUCUCGCUCUACCAGGCAAUCACCAUGGCCGGCGCGUUCUACCUCUACGCCGCCAUCGCCGCCGCCUCGUUCGUGUUCGUCUACGCGUGCCUGCCGGAGACCAGGGGACGGAGCCUCGAGGACAUGGAGGAGCUCUUCCACACCAAGUGAUUCGUACGUGUGAUUAGUUUCGAUUCAGUGGCAAUGGCAUUGAUCUUUGUCGAUCGUUGACACAAAUGACACCUGCAAGUACAAAUUACGACACUGUAAAUUUGUAUUCUUUGUUCGCAAGACUAUACGAGAAUAAAAGAUUUUGCGCUUCAUCAUACUGUUCCGUUCAUGGCUGAAAUGUCGAAUCUUCGGGGAACAGUGCUGCUGGAAUUACAUGUCAUGCAUAUACAAUAUAUAGUCAAAAAACAGUGAACAGUUCAUAUAUACACUCAUGUUGGAUGGCGACAAUAGAAAAGGAAAUCACAAUGUGUCUGCCUUGUUCUGCCAAAAAAAAAAAAUGAUGUGCUGAUCCUUAGCUUCUGAAUUUCUGGCAUUUUACGCUUUUUUGAAACGCUGAAAUUCCGUGAAGUCCAUAGUUCCAUUUACACAGGAAUAUACCUUCUUUCCCGUCUUAUAAUGGUGUGUCUGAGAUUUGUGCAAUCUGGUAACGAUGUACUACCUUUAGAAUUUAGACUACCGUUAGUUCGUUACUCAAUUAUACUACUUAGGGACAGUUGGCCUGUUCGGCUGUACUUAUAAGCCGGUUGAAAAGUUGAAACGGCUGAUUUGUUGUGAGAGAAAAACACUAUUUGGUGGCUGAUAAGCUGAAGCGAACAUCUUUAGUAUCAGCAUUCAGCGGUAUCUUUAGACUAUCGAUGUUUAUAAGAUGAUCACCGAUUCUAAACUUGCCUUAAAUGUCAAAAUGGUUUUCUAUAGUAUCUGAAAAUUUGAACAACCUUUUAAUUACAUUUCCUAUUUUCCUUUUAGGGCCAAAAUGAAAUCCUCCGUAUUACUGCAGGCCGUGAUACUGCAGGACCAACUCCGUAUUCACUGUUGGGCUUUUGGCUAACUGAUUAAUUUAAUUGAAUACCUCAAGGCAACUAGGCUUAGCCCACGUGCCAUACCGGCCCGGCACGGCACAGCAGCACUUGUCCCUUCCGCCGAUCGAUCUUUUUUGCAGUGGGCCACGUCAUACCAUAGGAUCGGCCCAUCAAUCCCAUGGAAGAGCUAGCGAACAGCCCACGCAUUCACACUUUUAAAUAUUAUUGGAUUGUGCCCCUGCGUUGCUACGGGCAGCAAUAUAUUUAUAUCAUAAUACAUGGAUCAUCGAAUAAAAUAAUAGUCAUAUGAAAUUAAUAAGUACGGACAUUAAAAAGUAUUCAAUCCAAGAACAUUUAUUGAAUUAAACAAAGCUACGCGCACACUACACAAUGAUGUACUCAUAUAUCUCAUAUUAGAAUAUUAUAUGCACUGCAGUGAAGAUUUAUAAACAAAGCAGAUUUAUUACAAAAUACAUAGAGCAUCAAUAAAGUCAAUAGUUGCGACAUCCCUCUAAGUUUACGAACUUUGAUGAAUCUUCAAGCUCAACCCCAAAACAUUAACAUGGGUUACCAACUCGCCUCGAUGAAGACGGAUGAAGCUUCUAGUAAUAUGCAUGGUGCUAUUGCAGAACAAAAUUGGAGGUUAGAACAAGCCAAAAUGUCCCAGUAUUGUUUAGCUUUUCCCUAAGAAUAUUUGAACUUGUUUCAACCUCGAACACUAUUCAUCCAAUGCGGCUAAUAAUAUGAUAAAUAUUUUUUCUUUUGAGAAAACUCAAGAAUAUUUAUCAUCCGAAACUUGGAAAAGGAAAAAAACCUAUAAACUGCGUGUGCAAUCCAAAAUAACAUACGUUUUAUUUCAGCAUGAUUUCGUGUUAGUUUUGGAAAGAAUUCUGAUAUAGUUGAAUCAGUUUGCAGCAAAAAUCAAAUUACAACACAAAAUAAAAUGCAAAAGAAAAUUGCAGCGCUGAGUCUUCCUCUCUCUCGUUGGCCUUUCUCCUCUGCUCUCCCUGUUUCUCCGGAAGCAUCUCACACACACUCUCUCCAUGCUCUCCCCCACAGCACCAAGGCCUUGUUUGAGAGGGAAGGGCUAAACUUUAACCAUAUUAUAUCGGAUGUUCGGAUGCUAAUUAGAAGGAAUAAACAUGAGCUAAUUACAAAAUUAAUAGCAGAACCCCUAGGCUAAAUCGCGAGACGAAUCCAUUAAGCCUAAUUAAUCCAUCAUUAGCGAAUGGUUACUGUAGCACCAAUUAAGUCUAAUUAAUCCAUCAUGUAGCACCAUAUUGUCAAAUCAUAGACUAAUUAGGUUUAAUAGAUUCGUCUCGUGAUUUAGCUUAGGGGUUGUACAAUUAAUUUUGUAAUUAGCCUAUAUUUAAUACUCCUAAUUAGUAUCAAACAUGACAGCUAAAGUCUCCCAAACAGGCUCCACGCUCUCUCCCACAACAGCAAGGGCAGGGGCAGGGCGUCUCGCUUUCUCCGACUUGCAGGAGGAGCAGGGCCUGGAGCAGGGCGCCGCCGUUCCCAACGGCAGGAGGUGCCCACUGCUCCCAAUCGAGGAGAUCUGAGGGCUGCGACAUGGACGGGAAGCGGCAAAGGCGAGCGGAGCAAGACAGCCUACGGGGUGCCCGUGGGGACAUGGCGACACUACCCUCCUGCGGCUCAGGCGGGUGGCGGGCAUCGAACGUCGGACUCCCUCUCUUGAGCAGAUCUUGGGUGACGGCGUGGCACGGCCUCUCCCAGCUCGUGAGGGCCUGCUGCGUUGAGCUCUUCUUGGCUGGCGAGUGCCGGCGGCGUCGGGCUCUUUCGUGGCUCGCGAGGGCCGACAAUUGCAGCUUCUCCAGGCGGUACAGUGGCGGAGCCGCGGGCCCUUUCCUACUCCAACUCCGCGCUCAUCUGCAAUCGAUCUCCACAGCGUCACCCUGUAUAUCCAUGGGGGCCGUCCAACUCCGGCAUGCCUCUGACCCUCCCUGAGGAUGUGCUGCACGGCUAGUGCAACAGCGGGUGCGGGUUCCCUUCCCGAGCUUGACGGCGCUGCUGCAGGUCGACAACGGCAUCACCUCAGAUCAGGUCCAAACUCAGUCCUUGCAUCUGUUCAUGCAUGAAAUUUUUUUCCUCCUUGCACAAGUCGAGCUCUUUCGUGGCUCUUAUUCUGUGACCUGCUUAAAAUUUCGAUUAGAAGAAAUGAUGAUAUGUCCCAUUAUUAUGUUCACAAUCUGAACAUUUUACAAACCUUCAUCUCGCAAAAAUCACUCAAGAUACCUUAUUCUCAUAAAUAGUUUUAAAAAAAUGUGAUCUCCAGGAUGCGGCAGCCACUGGUGGUAGCAAAUCAAAUGUGUUCGAUUCAGCACUGAAGCCAUGCACCGAUGCCCUCUGUGGUCGUCUACAGGAAUGGUCCUGGAGCAGGAGAUAGCUUUACAACUAUUGCUGAGAUAAGGUGCCGCUGUGCUCAAUUAUUGUUCAAUUGUUCUCCAUAUCAGAAUUUACCAUUGAACUUCAUUCAAAUGAAUAUGUUCAUAUCUGUGAUGGUGAGAAAAGUUUCUUUAAAAAAUCAGGCUAUGUUAGAAUUCAACAAUUUGCCACCUGUAGAAUCAGUUCUCACAUAUCAAUAUGUCCAUGAAAGAGAGAUAAAAAUAGUGUUAACAUGAUAUUUCUCCAUGACAUCAAUAUAUAUAGUUACUUGACCACCAAAAAUGAUGCUGACCAUACCCUCCUUUCUCUUUGCUUGAACUGAAUGCCAACCAAGGACCUGCUAAGCUCCUGACCAACCUCCCUUUUGUUUGCUUGAACUGAAUGCUAGCCAAGGAGGCCCUAAAUAAGCUGCUGACCAUAACCUUGAUGAGGUUGCAUCAGCUUUUUGCCCUACAGUUCAAGAGAAUUACAUUGUAGAUUGCCCAGGCUGAUAGGAAAUACAAUUCAAGAAAUAAUGAGCAAUGGCAGCAUACGUACUAUCCAGCACCAAUAUUGAUGAUGCUUGUGAGCAUAUGCGUAUAUCUGCAAAACAUGAAUUACUGCUUUUGAAGUAGGACAGAUACGUACUAUCAAAAAAAUAAUGUAUAUCUGCAAAACAUGAAUUUACUAAAAGUAUAAGGAAAAUUACUGCUUUUUUAAAGUAGGACAGAUACUUACAUAUGUUUGCCCAUGCAUUGACAAAUAAAAAAAAUAUGGUUAUAGAUUGUGGAUUCCUGUAGUGAUCUCUCGAUUUUUAAUUCCUGGGAAAAAGUAUAUGGAAAAUGUAUUCACUGCUCUUAACUGUAAAAAAAGUAGGUUGACCUAGUAGAAUUAAUAGAUUGGCAUCCACCACUAUUGUCAGCCCAGAAAUGCAUGAUUGUUCAGAAAUUGAGAAGAGACCAUUAGAUAACUUUAUUAAGCCGCAUUAAAAUUCACCAUGAUUUCUCAAAUAGAACUUAUGAAUUGCAUUAACCAUGUUAGGAUAACAAGAGUAUAUCAAAGUAAGCGGACAAUUUAGCAGUAACUGCUAAAAGCUUAUAAGAAUUUCUAUGGAAAAAUUACCUUUUUUUCAAUCUGGCGCACAACCAAUAAUUAGGGUAUAGAGCACACAUCUUUUUGGCAAACUACUAUAAGUGUGAGAUGUGAAUCUUCAAUGCUCCUGUACCAUUUCCAGUAAUUGAAUAGCAUUUCUUUUCCACGACGGAUGGAUGGAUGGAUGUGUUAAAACACAGAGAACAUUCUUUUACAGUUAAAUAAAUCAUAGAAGACAUCGUCAUGGAAGGCUUAACUCUGUCAAAGUUCCUUGGAAUAUGAUUCUACCAGUGACAGUCUGAAUUAGACAAUUGCAUUUGGGCUCCCUAAUCUUUGUUGAAAAGAUCAAAGCACCUAUCCAUCAUGAAUCAUACCGUACAUGAACUCAAUGCAGAAGCACCUAAGUGAUUAAGAUGCCAUCUCUAUAUUUUUUUAAGUACCUUAUUUGACAAGUUGUCAAGUAACACACCUAUCCAUCAUUGUGCUAUUCUUUUUGUUCUUUCUGAUUACAUAUCAAAGCACCACACUGUCUAGAUUAGCAAAAUAAAUGGUAGGGACUGUAUGCUCGCUGCAAAUAAUUUUCAGAAGUACCAUGAUGUAAAAUCUGCAUGCACCAGAUGAAAGAUCUUAAGAUCCUAGAUUUCUUAUACAAACUUAAUUUUCAGAAUCAAAUAACUUUACUGAAAAAUUUAAAAUUCCUAACUGGGAGACAAAUUUGAUACUCGGUCUUUUGUCUCACCUAGAAAUUCCUCGAUCACUGGAGUAUUAAUCUUGCCUUAGCUUUUGAAGUCAGAUUAAACCCAUUGACCACUGUUUUGAAGUUAGAUUAAACCCAUUAAUCACAUGAUGACUAAGAGAUCUAACCUUGGUAUAUUCGUUCCUUAGGGUUGCAAAAUGGAUGGCCCUUGCAUGGUGACGACAUUGAUGGUGAUCCUUUUCCCAGAACGGUGGCAGAAGACAAGUGCACCAGCUCCACAUCUCCCAGGGCGACGUCGCAGGUUGGAGGGCGUAGGGCCACAUAUCAGUGCGCAUGCACAUUGGCAGCGGGAUCGCGUAGAGCAGCGACGUCGCAGGUUGGAGGAUGCAGGGCAAGAUCAAAUGAAUAAAUUGACGAACCUUCGAGGUAGCGGUGAUGGGUGAUCCGUUCUCGCUCGUCGGGUGCCACGUGAACCAUGGGCGUGCGGCCGACGAGGAGGGGCCUCCUUUGCACGUGGGUUGGAGGAGACGGCGGUGCCGGGUUGGCGGACACAGCGGCGGCGGCAACGGAGGUGGGUUGGAGGCGAUGGUGGCGGCGAGAGGUUUGCGCCGUUGCCACAUCGGGGAGGAGGAGGAGGACCCUGGUUAGGGUUUGGUUGGAGAAGGGGAGGCGGCAGGAGGCGGGGGUGGUGGGGAAGAGGAGGCGGCAGGAGCUGAGGGAUUGCGGGAUGGGCGGGGGUUGCUGCGUGCGGAAGGGAAGGUGUCGUAGGGCGCGAAAAGAAAAUGGACGACGAAGAAGAGAGCGGGGCUAGGGGAGCGAUCGGAGGGCCAAAAAUGAGUUGCGGAAGGAUGGCGGACCGAAAAAUCGUCCGAUGUAGAAGUUUUUUCACCUCUUUAGUUUUUUAGAGUAGAGAUUAUGAGGUCUUUUUUAAAAUGUAUACUAUCAUACUUUUUAUUAUUAUUUUUUAUGUAACCAAUCUCUCACCAAAUUUUGCUGAAUCCUUGUUUAGAUUUUACCGCUUGUUGUAUUGGGUAUUGAUUCGGCAUAUGGUCAAGAUCUCUCUACGGGUUAUCGGGUCUCCUCUGCCUCACUGCCUGUCUCUGUCUGUCCUGAGAACAUGAUACUGCAGGAAGCUGCUGGUCACUGCCUGUCUCUGUCUAUAAGCUGUAAUCACUGCCUGUCUCUGUCUGUCCUGAGAACAUGAUACUGCAAGCUGUGAUCUAGUACCUGCAGUAUCAGGCAGUGAGGCAUAGGAGACCCAAUAAACCGGGUUCAUUGGCACGAUCUGACGACCAUCGCUGUCGUGUGCAUGUUAUUAAUACUAAGGAUUAAAUUUUAGCUUCCGUUACAUCGGAUGUUUGAUACUAAUUAAAGUAUUAAAUAUAAGCUAAUUACAAAACUAAUUGCACAGAUGGAGAUUAAUUUGCGAGACGAAUCUAUUAAGUCUAAUUAGCCCAUGAUUUGACAAUGUGGUGCUACAGUAACCAUUUGCUAAUGAUUGAUUAAUUAGGCUUAAUAGAUUCAUCUUGCGAAUUAACCCAGGAUUUCUGCAAUUAAUUUUAUAAUUAACUUAUAUUUAGUUCUUCUAAUUAGUAUCUGAACAUUCGAUGUGAUACAGGAGCUAAACUUUAACCCGAGGAUCAAACACGCCUAUGCUGGUGCAGCAGCAUCAGAUGGGAGCUGGCCUGGUCCUUCAGACCUUCACUCCUCUCUUUCCCGUGACUGACUGAUUAACUAACAAAACAGGACAAGAAUGCAAACCCAAUGCUAGCUCGCUCUUCUAUCAGAUCAGAUACUGUACGUAUUCCUUCCGUUUCAAAUUGUGUCGUUUUAGUAUUUAUAAGUUCAUAUUUUUCUAUGUAUCUAGAUGUAUAUUAUUAUGUCUAAAUAUAUAGUAGAAACUAUCAAUCUAGAAAUAUCAAAACGAUCUGCACAGUCACUGUUGGUGGGACCGAUCGAGCUCAUGUGACGUUCGGGGCAUUCCGUGGGUGCACGGCCGUCGGCGCCGCGUGUAGUGCAACCAGCUGGUACGGUUUGCUCGUUGCUGGUACGGCUCAUACCACCGUACCAGUGGUUUCUCGACCCUGAUCGCGAUGGAAAACAUCCUAUAACUUUUCUAAUUCUAGUUUCUAAAUGCUUUGCAUUAUUUAAUUUUGAAUCAAGCGUGCAAAUAUAUUAAUACUAUUAUGCCAUAUGAAUUGUUUUUUUUUACUUGCGCGUGUAACUACUCCCAUCAUCAACAUACCGCUGUGUGUAACUUAUUUGUUGUUUUGAGUAUGCUCAUAUACCCAUUAAUUCUAAAGGUCCUUUUGGAAUAACUAGAUCUAAUGGUUAGCUGGGAUUAGAUGGGUGGGAAGCAGCUAGCUGAAUACUGUCUAGUGGAUGAGUGGAUGAUUUAACAUCUUUUUUUUUUUCCAAGUUUAGUUGAAAACAAAAUGCACAAUUAAACAUUUUGCCUCUCCAAGAAUCUCCCAAUUUUUUUCCUCCUGAUCUAAAAAUCUUGAAACUGUCAAUUUCGGGAGAUCAAUUAACCUGCCCUAUCUAUUGCAAUCAGGUUAUCUAUAUGUCCAUCAGUCCAUGAUCCAUCUGCUCGAUCGAUCAAUCUGGCCUAGUCAGCACACAUGCCAGGAACGAGCGACGGGACAAAAAAGGAGCCACACCUGUCGAGUGUAUGUGGACCGACUGUGCAUACGUUCGUUAGAUUGAGAUUCCUUGGCUGGCAUUCGCUCUCCAACCCUACGGCAGGAGACAUCCAUCGAUCGACGCCAUGCACUUCCAAUUUUUUUUCCCUCUGGAAUUACCUGUACAACAAAAAAAAAGUGUCCAGGAUUCCAGAUCAGAUCGAUGGCGAGAGGUGUCUCGACUUGUCGACCGAGCGUUGGAGGAUGACGUAUAUAGCAAGAAAUUUUACCGGCCUAGGUUUUUUAUCAAUCGAAGCUGUAACUUUCAGCGGUACGGUCCUUUUGGAUGAGCGAGAGAAGUAAUAUAUACGGAUGUCAAAUUCAAAUACCAUACAAGGGGCAACAUCAGGCUAAUGGUGGUUGUUAGAUGUUCUCGCAGUUGAACCGAGAAACACCAUUUCAUUAAUCAUUAUCAGAACAUGUUGGUACUAAACUGAAACCAUAGAAGAAAUGACACUCACGGCAGAGCUGUAAAAUAUUCAAAUUAGGUAAAUAACUGUUUAUUACAUUCCAACGCCACGUUGCUAUAACAUGGCAUCUAAAAGAUUCUAAAAUAGAGUGGACUUCAUGUUGCUUUCUUUUGGUGAUCCAUGAAAGUAUUAUUCAAUACAACAUGCUCACAAAAAGCAACCAAAGGUUGAUUUAAUAGUGUCGUACUAAUAUGCUCUCAAAUCGAAAAACCAUGUAAGUUCACUAUGGCUGCGUUUGGACGUAGACAUUCAGUUUUAGAAUUGGGAAUUGGCAAUGAAACCCCGUUGCCAACUGUUCGGAUAUCCUAGAAUUCGGAAUUGGAAAUCGACUCCAAUACCAACUGGUACUCAUCACGCACUCAACCCCUUACCCUCAAUACCGAACCCACCCCCUUCGUAUUCGCUGUAAUCAUCCUCAUCCCCUCCCUCCCUCCCCCUCUCUCUCUCCCCCUAUACGGAGUGCUGCGCCACCCCUCCAUCUCCCUCCGCCGGUUGGCCUCCUUCCCCUUCGUGCGAGUUGCAUUGCCCCUCCAUCUCCCUCCACCAACUGCCCCUCCAUCUCUCUCCGCUGGCGUGCCCUACACCAUUUCCCUACGAACCUCUAUCGCAGCCCUCCUCAGUCUUCUUCCCUUCUAAGCCUCCUCCAUCUUCCUCCACGUGGGCCCUCCUCAAUCUCGCUCCCCAGCAGGCCUCCUCCAUCUCAGACACGGUCGGAGACGCAUGACCCCACCGACGCGCCGGAGUGGGAGCGUAGGCGAGCAAUCAACGUGGAAGAAGAGGGCAUGGACCCCCACUACUGGAGAAUGGACCUUUCAUCCACUGCAUUAGUGCCGGUUGUAAUUGGACCCAAUACUAAUGUGAGCAUUAGUACCGAGCCUCACGGCUAGUCCCCCCAGACCGCCCCAUGACCCCCUUUAGUACCGAUUGAGGGUGCAUAUUAGUACCGGUUGGUGCCCCCACCCAGUACUAAUAUGACACCGGGCCUUUAGUACUUGGUGGGAGCACCAACCGGUACUAAUGUGCACCCUUUAGUAUCGGUUGGUGCCCCCAACUGGUACUAAAUUCCCUCCUAUAAAUCCACCUUCUUCUUCCUCCUGCCCGAGCCAUUCACCACAGCUCGAGCUUCAUCCUACCCAUGGCGCCAUAAGGGAGGUGCUGCCGGAUUGAAAACCAUUUCGUGAGGAUUUCACUCAUUCAAGUGUUCUAAAGGUUAGAAACUUCAUCCUCCCUUGAUACAUGGUUAGUAUACUAAGUUUUAUGCUUUAGAGCUAGAGUAAUUUGUGAUUUUUAGAAUAAGAUACAAUGGAGAAAAUUUUCAUUUAUAUGCACGUGUUAUUUAGAGCUCGUAUUUGUGAUUUCUAGAAUAAGCUACAACUUUUUGGAUGCUAUGUUUCGUAUUAGUCAAAGAAAUUGAUAUGAGGUUAGAGGAAUAAUUUCAUAGUUUAGUACUUUUCAAAUAUGAUCUAAAUAAAUUAUGGCAAAUGUGAGCAAGAUAAAUUGUGCUACAUAGAGAUAAUAAGAUGAAAUAGAGGUACGUAAUUAGUCAUUUUUAGAAUAAGCUAUAAUGGAGAAAAAUUUUAUUUAUAUGUUAUGUUUGAACUAAGUAAAUUGUGGGGAAAAUAUAGAAUUUGUUCAUAGUUUAGUCAUUUGCAAAUAUGAGCUAAAUAAAUUAUGGUACAUAGAGAUGGCUUCUGCUACUGGAGGUAGUAGCAAUGGUAGGGGCGAUCAUCGUUCCUCUCGCGGUAAGGGGAAAACCAUAGUUAUCAUCUGAAGAAAAUGAGCAUGUGGGAGAAAGUAAUACUUUGUUAUUUGCAAAGAUGUCAUGAAGAUGCUGUUGCGGCGGGUCAGGAACUUCCUUUUGGUAGUCGAUGCUCCACCGCCACUCCCGGGUGUUUCAGAUCCACUUAGUACUACCGUUGUAGGAGGCACAAAUAAACUACACGAUGAGGCUGGGUCAGUGAAACCUUCAUCUUCGCCCAAGGAUGCUUAAAGUCCUCCUAGAUAGUACUUAGUGGAUGGUUAAAGAAAUAGAAAAGAAAAUGAGAAAAAAAAAUUAGUACCGGUUAGGAGACCAACCGAUACUAAAUUGGCCUCGGUCACGCGCGACGUGGCAGCCAAUUUAGUAUCGGUUGGUCUCCCUAACUGGUACUAAAGGAUCCUUUAGUACCGGUUAUUUCAACUGGUACUAAAGGUCCUUCCUUUAGUACCUCACUAGCAAUACCGGUUGCGCAACCAAUACUAAAGGGGGGUUACGAACCGAUACUAAUGAGGCUUUCCCCAGCAGUGCCCCGCUCCCAUGCCACCACCGUGCCGGCAAAGGAGGAGGAGAGGUAGCGCCUGACCCGAUGGAGAGAAGAAGACAGCCAAUGCCAAUUCUACUACAUGCAUAUCCAAACAAGACUUGGUAUUUGAAUAUCCAAACAAGACUUGGUAUUUGAAGCCUCAUUGAUUCAUUCAAGCAAUUUCAUACGUAUCCAAACAAUUACUUUGGUAUUGUGAGCCAUUUUCAAAACUAGUCUAAUUUGGUAUUGAGUCCAAUUCGAUACCAAGUUCCUCCAAUAUCGACAUCUACAUGGAGCAAGGACACCUAUACUAGGACAAUUAUUAGACAGAAUUGAAUGAAUGCACUGUAGCGAACGUCAAAAACAAUCUAGCUGUACAUGGCAAUAGAAACUAAUUAAAACACAUUCAUGUAUACCCGGGAGUUCUAUUGGUACCUUCCAGAGUGCCACGUGUGUGCAGAAGUGCAAUCAGUUUAUAGUCGAAUUAGUCCAUAUUGUUCCAUUUUGGUUGUUUCAUAGGCACAUCUUCUUCUUUGUCAUUUUAUAAAAAAAUGCUGAGAUGACACCUUGUUUAAAGGAAAAUUGAAAACAAAACCCUGUUGGGAUUGAUAUAAUGAAACCUGCAGGCCUAUAUGUUACUUCAAUGGCAGUUGCUGUGGUUAUGUGUGAUUGGAGGGAGGGGACUGAGGGACAUCGCAACGACAGGGUAAGAUCAGCACAUGGGAAACCAGAGGAAGAGGAAUCAAAACGAAACACUUGAUCACGACAUAUCCAUCGUUAGCAGCAAAGGAAAAAAGGUGACAGAAAGUUAUCUGUAAUUGCUCAUGUAAUAUAAUGGCUCAACUGAGGAUGUGUUGUGCCUGAAACGGAAAGGUAACAAAAGAUUUUUACCGUAGGUUUGUUUCAAGAACCGGUUGUAUAUAAAAAGCUUUCUACAGUCAGUUUUCGCAACAAAUAUUACGGUAACAAUAUGUUUGUAUCACCUUGCUAUUUCUAUAGUUGUGGAGCCGCAUCAGUUCGGAACUGCGAACGAUCGAUUUUUAAACCGACCGACCUUGUCCGUUGUGCAAGAGUGAAGGUCGAUUUAUUUGUACAGCAAAACUAAGCUCGUCCCCUGCAAGAAAUGAAUGGAGGUAGUACUUUAAAAAUAUAUUACUCGAAUUAUCGUAAGGUGUGUUUUUUUUUUUGCGUGGAUCGGAACUCGAUCGUGAAAACAGGAAGAGGCACAUCACAAUGUGACGGCAAGGUAAUAUCAGCGAAUAAUGGAAACGAAGAGGAAGACGGAAGAAAACGAAUCACUUGAUGAUCAGGACAGGACAUCCAUCAUCAUUAGCAGCGAAGGAGAAAGGUGACAUGAAUUUAUCCUGCAUUUGGAAUUUGAUGCUCGCGAAUACUACCGCCGUCUAGUUGCAGCUUGCCUUGACUAGACGCAAGUAGAAGCUAGCUUUGCUGCCACCCAACCGAAUAAUCAAUAUUAAUGAAUAGGCCAACACAUAUAGGAGUAUAUAUGCUAAGCGAAUGGGACAACAUGUCGCUGCCUACGCCGGGACGGAGGUGGUCCAUGGACGCCGGCGGCGGCGCCCGGGGUCGCGCCAACGGCCGCGCGCGCGUCGUACAGCGCCGGUGCCGCCAGAACCUGCAUGCUCGCCGGCCACGCCAUGAUUGGCCGGUGGGGCCCACUUGCAUUCUCAAGGGUCCUGCGCGGCAGAAAACCUCGGGCGGCCGUCGGCUGCUGCUAGCUCUUCAUGACUUCAUGUGCUCAUGUAAAAUAAGCAUGGUGUGUCCAGCAAGUUUGUUCAUUGUGUCCGUGUAUGUUAAAAAUCACAUUCCAACAAGUUUGUUCAUAUGUAUAUAUAGCAUGAAAAAAAUGUCUUAGCAACUGCUCUCUCCGUUCCAGGUCAUUUUCACUUUUUCAUAUCUUUUAUUUGCUACUCCCUCCGUUCCAGAUUACUAUUCAUUUUGGAUUUUCUAAAUACAUAGCUUUUGCUAUGGAACUAGAUAUAUGUAUGUAUAGAUAUGUAGCAAACGCUAUGUAUGUAGAAAAACUAAAACACAUAGUAAUUUGGGACGAAAGGGAAUAUAUAACUAAGAUAUACGUUAUGUCCAAAUACAUAUAUAUCAAAACUAUAUAUAUUGAAAAAAAAGAUAAAACGAUAUAUAAUUCAGACUGAAAUUUAGAAGGUUAAUUUUAAUUUGUAUGUGUGUGGGGGGGGGGAGAGACCUAUAGUUGGAGAAGAUGGCAGCCUGGCUGUGGCAAACGUGAGCUAGCGACCGUGCGUGGCGCGCCGCGCCCAGCCUCUCGUUGCGUCGGCUCACGCGCGCCACGAUAAUUCCAUUGGCCGCCCGCGCCGCCGCGCAUGCGAGCCAACCAAGCGCGCCGUGCCGUGUCACGUUGUGCUUAUAUACCUGCCGAUCUGUGUGUUGCGCGCGCCAACCUCUCGAUCGAGAGGAAUAAGGUACAGUACUAGCACCUCACGAUGAAGAAGGAGGAGGACCUCGAGUCGCCGCUGCUGUCCGACGGCGAGCCGGCGCCGGCGGACUCCAAGGGCAACGCGUACGCGCUCGUCUGCACCCUCCUCGCCUCCCUCACCUCCAUCAUCUACGGCUACAGUAAGCGCCGCCGCCUUCUUCUUCUUAGCUUCUUGCCACGGAUCGAAAUAAUGGUUGCAACGUCUCCCUCGCUUCGCGCGCGCGCGCCACUGCAGAUCGCGGCGUGAUGAGCGGGGCGCAGAAGUUCGUGCAGGCGGACCUGGGCGUCACGGACGGGCAGCUGGAGGUGCUCAUCGGCGCCACCAGCGUCUACUCCCUCGUCGGCUCGCUGGGUGCGGGCUGGACCUGCGACCGCGCGGGCCGCCGCCGCGCCGUCGCCAUCUCCGCGGCCAUGUUCCUCGCCGGGUCCGCGGUCACCGCCGCCGCCGACGGGUACGCCGCGCUCAUGGCCGGGCAGCUCGUCACCGGCAUCGCGUGCGGGUUCGGGCUCGUCGUCGCGCCCGUCUACAUCGCCGAGAUCGCGCCGGCGAGCUCGCGUGGGUUCCUCUCCUCCAUCCCCGAGGUAUGAGUACGACGUCGGCGUCGGCGGCGGCGGCGUUUCUCCGCGCGCACGCGCUUGCAUGGCUGCCGUUCAUUAUUUCGUUCUUGAAAAUGCGGUGGUCCAGAUUGCUAAUUAGGAAGUUGGUAGAGGAAAAUCAGGUGGAAGUGGUAAGAUCUGAAAUCCUAGGUAUUAGGUCAGCUUGAUGACUAGAUCAGUACGUGUCUUUUCAAAUGAAAAACAAGAGAACACGAUGAAAUUUAAAAUUAAAAGUUGGUUGGAUGGAUCUACGACUUGCCCAUAAAUUUUAUCGGAAGAGAAACCAAAUCGGACGUGCAUGAUGUUGCGCACGCCGGGUUGAGUUGUUGUUUUGAAGUUGCGGAUCCUGUGGUACAGCGUUAGUUGACUGACAGCAUUAAUUAAACCAGAUUUUAAUGUUCAAUUUACCAUGAUGAUUUUUUUUCAAGAAUGAUUUACCUUGCCUGAUUCAUGGUAAAAUGCUACAAGUUACAGCCGCUUGUAAUUGUGACAAUAUUUAUGAUGUUGUUUACUGUUGUUUAUUUCUGACGUGCUUGCGCGUGCCACGUCAGAUCGCCGGCAACUCGGGCAUCCUGCUCAGCUACAUCGCCGACUUCGCGUUCGCGGGCCUCCCCACGACGCUCAACUGGCGCCUCAUGAUCGGCAUCGGCGCCGUCCCGCCGCUCUUCCUCGCGGCGGCCGCGGUGCUCGCCAUGCCAGAGACCCCGCGCUGGCUCGUCCUCCACGGCCACCCCGACGAGGCCCGCCGCGUGCUCGCGCGCACCGCGGGGGACGCCGCCGUCGCCGACCGCCGCCUCCAGGAGAUCGUGGUCUCCGUCCGGGAGGCGUCCAAGAACGCCGCCGUCUCCGGCGGCGGCAAGUCGUCGUCGACGGGCGUGUGGCGCGAGAUCCUCCUCCGCCCGACACCGGCCGUCCGCCGCGUGAUGCUCGCCAUCGUCGGCCUGCAGGUGUUCCAGCAGGCCUCCGGCGUGGCGGCGCUGGUGCUGUACGCGCCGCGGGUGUUCAGCCACGUCGGGAUCACCUCGGAGCGCGCCGUGCUCGGCGCUACCGUCCUCCUCGGCGCCGUCAAGACGACGGCCAUCGUGGUCCCGCUGUUCCUCGCCGACCGCCUCGGCCGCCGGCCCAUGCUGCUCGCCAGCGCCGGCGGCAUGGCCGCGUCGCUCCUGGUGCUGGCCCUCUCGAUGCGCGCGCCGCCGCCGCCGGCGGCCUCGUGGUGGGCGGCGGCGACAUGCGUCGCGGCGGCCGCAGCGUUCAUGGCGGCGUUCUCUCUGGGGUUCGGGCCGGUGAUCUGGAUGUACGGGUCGGAGAUCCUGCCGCUGCGGCUGCGCGCACAGGGGACGGGGAUCGGGACGGCGGUGAACCGGGUGAUGAGCGCCGCCGUGGGGAUGACGUUCAUCUCCAUGUACGAGGCGGUCGGCAUGGCCGGGAGCUUCUACAUCUUCGCAGCGCUCUCCGCGGCGGCGUGGGUGUUCGUGUACGCGUGCCUGCCGGAGACCAAGGGGAGGACCCUCGAGGAGAUGGAGGCGCUCUUCGACGCCGGUGCCAAGCCCUCGCCACGGGCGGUGCUGUCGUAACUCGUGAUCUGGGCAGCGACACGGAAGAAGCAGGUAAGUUGUCAAGGGUGUAAAAGACUGGUAAGACGUAUGGUUAGGGAUGGGCUAGCAUAAAUGCAUAAUUGUUACUAGUACAGCAUAAUAACUUGUUUUGUUGUUGUGUAAUUUUGCAAUUUUGAUUGGAAUGAUAAGAAUGAUUAGCUCUUUGGGAAUGCAUAUGUUGCUUCUUCUCGGAAACAGAGAGAUGCCUGUUUAGGGUGACAUGUGUUGUGAAACACAGGUAUUAGUGACCAAUUACUCUAAUUACUUAAUUAUUAGUUAAUGAUGUUAUUAGCAACGGCUAAUGACAAGUCACCCAAGGGCAUGUCCUUCCCAAACGGACACCUUCAUUCCCUUUGGCCUUUGGGCUUGUAUAUAUGUGUAACAGUAACUUUAAUCAACGAACUAUUCCAUUACAUCAUUUUUACUUUUCCAUUUCUAACACGUUACCGGACACUUUGAUUUACACUAAGCGCAAGAAGAAGGAUAGAGGCUAGAGGGCCUCACAACCAGAGGGUAAGAUGGAUUCUGGAUACUUACGUUUCAUUGCCAUAGGAAAUGGCUUCCUUGUUCUUCCUCUCGGUGGCCGGCGCUGGAACCAUGGCAGAUGCCCAAGGUUUUGCUUCUGCAACAGAGGUGGCAUCUUCUGCAGGACGUCGCGGUCGCCGUGGUCGCCACUUCCAUGGUGACUGAGGACGCCGUGGCUUCACUGGAUGGGGACGCUGGUCACCUCAGCGACGCAGUCCUCGCUGCACUCCACCACUAAGUCCAGGCCAGUGGCCUGGCCCCUCCCGGCCUGCAACACGCCAGGCGCCAUCAGCCACAAGUAGUUCCACCAGUGCCUCCUCCGAGCACACACGUAUGGCUACACCACCGUACACUUCCGGCAUUGUAUCCACUGGACGAGGCUCACCAUCGGCGGCGCCUCAUUUGCCGACACUACACCACCAGAGGAGCCACCUCGCCGUCCUCUGGUGUUGCGCAUCUGUCGCCUAGGGAGCACCAUGGAAGGCAUCGGGUCAUCCCCAACCUCAACUCACCGGUGGCGGCUAGCAUCACCGACUUCGGUCCUCAGGCCGGUCCCUCCACCAACGGUGGCUGCCACGCCGCCAUCACCUCCUUCACCGCUGCCACUAUGACCUCCGACCUCGCAAGAAGUACCAUGGCUGCCCACCCGAGGUUCAUUGUCAGGACCAUGGUGACUCGCCGGGUGCAUCACCGUUCUUCAAAGAUGACGGUGGCUCCUCGCCCAUGUCCUCUGCGACAAGCUAGUGGCAGCGCCCACCGCACUGAGCCCCCUUGGCCGCGGCACCUGGAGCCCCACCGCGUUGGGGCUCUGUUCCGAGAGCUAAACGGCCGGCCGGCGGGAGGCCGACGACUAGGGGUGAGGGGGGCAGCGCGAUGGAGGCAGAUGCGUGGGGUGGCAUCAGCACCAGCAGUGACUGGUGGCGCAGCGGCCAACGGCUGGCGCGGCUCCACGCGGUGGGUCGGUGGCGGCGGCUAAGGGCGAGGCGCAGUUAGGGUUCCCUUCCUCCACCCUUCUAUACGGGCUGCGCUUGGAUGGGCCACUUAGGCCGCCUAGGCUGCCACAAGGCUGAAGCCGACCCGCAGGCCCGAUCGGUGGUGCGGCCUACACAGCUCACAGGCUGGUGGGCUACCACGAGCCAAGCCCAGGCCGGACCAGGCCACCUUGCCAUUUCAGUUUUACAAGAUAGCCCCUAGGCUUACCUUCAUUUAUAUUUUGAGAAUAUUCUGUUCUGCAUGUUUAUGUUUUAACCUCUGGAUUGUUCUGCACAUUGUUAAAUAUACCAUCAGUUAUUAGCACCCAUGUAAUAAGGAUGCCAACUUUACCACAGUAAUUGAGUAUAAUCAUGAUCUGCAGAUCUUUCAUUGGUAUUAGAAUAAUCUUUACAUAUGCAAUUUAUUUUUGUUUGCAUGAUUAAUACUUAAUCAAUAUUCUACAUCAAGUAGAACAUAAAGCAAAAUUAAAAUUAAAGCCUAUACAUAUGAUUUUGGAAUAACACAAGGUGAUGCGACCUAGGGACCGGUUGCGAUAAGUUCUUUUCUAAGAAUUUAUCUGCCCAGAGGCCAUACUUUUAGGUAGCCUUUGCUCAUCACUGAGAGGUCUACAUCUUUUUGACGAUUACCUUCAAAGUAUAUAUCCAAUUUUCACAUAAAUGGACAACAUUGAAUAUGACUAUCAAGUCAUUUAUUCCUAUAGGAAUUAAAAUGUCCUAUACUGUCGUACAUACAUCUAUGGGCCCACCAGAAGGUUUGGAUAGAUCCACAUAUGGGGCUGUACACCGAGACGUGUCAGACAUGGAGGCUAUAGUGUAGGACGGCGUAGUCUACAUGGACUCCAAGGAACUAGUUGAGGAUAAGGAAACUACUCUUCCUAGUUGGAGUAGGACUCUCUAGUCGAAUCCGACUAGUACUCUUGUAAAACAACUGCCCUGUAACCCUACUCCCCCAAUAUAUAAGGGUGGGCAGGGACCCUCUCAAAAAAAGUUCAAUCCAAUACAAGAAAACAACACACAAGACGUAGGGUAUUAUGCGAUCUAGCGGCCCAAACCUGUCUAAAUCGCGUGCCUACGUACACCAUCGAGCUCCUGAUUUCGGCGACACCCACCAACCUAAACUCUACCCCGGGUACUUCCGUGGUAGAUUGUCGGGUUUAAACACCGACAGUUGGCGCGCCUAGGAGGGAAAGUCGCCAAAAUUUUCCUUGCGGGUUCAAUGGCUCAAGUCAUCAUCAAGCCUACGAUCACGUUCAAAGCCGGCGUGACGUUCAUCUUCGACUCUUGGGUCUGUGUCGCUGAUGGCGCUGGAAGCUUCCACCACUACAUUACGGAGGCCACGGAGAAGAAGCCCCUUGACAUCAGCCUUCGUCACCAAGCUAUGGAGGAUCUCGUCGAGAAAUUCCACAAAUUUUUUGAUUUGACAAGAAGCAAGCUCGAGUACGACUCGAACUCUACUGGUUCUCACUAGCAGGCAUUCCAGCCAUUGUGCGAAUCAAAUCAAACUCCGAGCCAGUUUCCGUCCGGACUCCGAAACACGGCUUUGGUUCAUCAGGCAAUUCUAUCCAAAUCACAAUCCGAAUUGGAGACGCUUGAAGACCACGACUUUGAUCUCUACCCAGAUUUUGUCGAGGAAAUUCCUUUAUCAGGUCCACAGCAGGGCCUGGUAAUCACUUCAACACCUCAAGGCAGAUUUGUUUACUGGCCGGGCAUGAAGCCAUCUUUCCUCGACUAGGACAACGAGUCACGAUUUAUCGCCCACCUCGAAGUUCUCCCAUACCAAGAGGGAACUCCCCUAUCUCCCAUCCAUGAAGACGAUGGCUCCACAAAAGUCAUCACCUCAAGCUCUGGUAGCUACUCUCUAGAAAGAGAACUCUUUGCUGUUAUCACAAUCGGCAACGGGGAAGACGGUGAGCAACAUCAACCUGAAAGAAAUCCUAGACAAGAGCGUCACCCUGAUGAUGUCUCGCAAGAUGAACUCUCUGCCAACAUCGUUGGGGAAGAAACUGAAGGUCAAAGAUCCCGGCGGCGAGCAAGGAAUGCAUCAAGAGCAGAAUGACGCCGUCAACUGGUAGAACAGCUCCCGAUCAUGAAUCUUGACAAAGCUUUUGUGGCAGUGCAAACGUGGCACCACCAAACGCCACUUGCCACUGUCACCUUCAUUGACCUCAUCGCUUGCGCCAUGCCACAAGACAAGUACACUGCUAUUGUCACAGUUGGCAGAACACGCCUAUGAACUACUUGACAAACAAAACCCGAUCCCGUCUGUGUCUCAUACCCCGUCUGCACGAAGUCAGCACAGCAGUAGCAGAGGCCAUGCAGGGCCUUCAGCUCGACCACAUGAAGAUGCCAGACAACACAGGGGUGCAAUUGAAGGAACAAGACAAAAUUGGGAUGUACUCGAAGGCCCAAGAUGAAACGAAAACGUACCCGAGGGUAGUCGAACAACUUCUAGGAAAGGUGGGCGCCACCGCAGGGCUUAUCCUGAACCCUCACGUGACGUCGAGGAUCUUCGACACAAGAUAAAUAGUACUCGCGAUGCACGCGACAUCAUUGAAAAUCGACGUCGUGAACGCGAACUCGAGGAUGGCUACAGGGGCGAGGACAAUGACAACUUCCCCGCUUUUACAAGUCGGGUCAGAAGAACUAUCGUACCGGAGAAAUUUAAACCUCUGGGUAUCUCCAAAUAUGACGGCAAGCAAGAUCCAGUUCAAUGGCUCUGGUGCUACUCUUUGGCAGUCCAAGCUACAGGGGGCACUGACGAUACAAAAGUCAUCUAUUUCCCCAUAUGCAUGGAAACUGCGCCUCUCACUUGGCUUGAAUCCUUGAAGCCCGAUUCCAUCGACUCUUGGCAAGACUUGAAGAAAGCAUUCACCAAUUACUACGCGGGGGCAAUGCAACGUCCCGGCCAUAGGAUUGACUUGGCACAAGUCAAGCAGCAGCGGGACGAGACAUUGCGAAGCUACAUGUGUUGUUUUUUUUGAACAAAAAAGCCACCAUCGUAGACAUCUCGAAAGCCAGACGUGAUAGAUUGCUUCCAGAAUGGCCUCUACGACCGUCAUAUGUUCCAGGACUUUGGAGGCGUUGGCCCCAGGACUUCAAAUCACUCAAGACUAUGGCCCAAUCAUGGGUAGAUGAGGAAGACAAAGAGCUUGAAAGGUUCAAGUCGAAUCAUAACCGAGGCUGGGACAACCACAAUCACAGCAAUGGCUAGGACCACGACAAGAAUUGCAGCGGUGACCACCAAAAUAACUACUCAGGGAAUCAAAAUCGCAAGCGCAAGCCGGACAAUACAGUCGCGACAAUGUCUCACUGAACCAAGAACGGGUCCAAUAAACAUGAAGACAGGCCUGCAUUCAGUGAACUCUUGAAGAAGUAGUGCCCAUGACACCCCUAUCACAAACACGUUGCGAUAGACUACUACAGUCUACGCAGGGUAAUGAAAGAGUUGCCAGAACCCUCGAAUACCAAUGACAGGGGGAAGGGCAAAGUGGAUGAAGGUGAAGAUGGCGAAGACAAGUUCCAGACUCCUUCCAAGACCGUCAACAUCAUCUUUGGUGGGAUUCUAGGCACCUCCUCCAAGUGAUCCUAGAAAUUAGUAUUACGAGAGAUCAUGUCCAUUGAGCCUGCUACUCCUACACCUCUCAAGUGGUCUGAGGUAUAGAUUACCUUCUUCAGGAAGGACUAAUGGACAAGUUUCUCAGAACCAUGAUGGUUCCCUCUCGUCCUGGAUCCGAUUGUUGCUGGUUUGAAACUUACCAAGGUACUCAUCAACGACAGUAGUAGCCUCAAUGUCCUGUUCGCCAAAACUCUAAAGAAGAUGGGCCUCAACAUCAUAGAGAUGCUUACCCCAACAAACUCUCCAUUCUACGGGAUUGUCCCAGGCAAUGCGGCUAUAACACUUGGACAAGUAGUUUACCAGUUACCUUUGGGACAAAGGAGCACUACUAGACAGAGUAUAUCUGGUUCGAGGUAGUGGAUUUUAAGACUUCUUAUCACGCCAUCCCCGGCAGACCAUCAUUAGCCAAGUUCAUGGCCAUUUCGCACUAUGUGUAUCUACUACUGAAGAUGCUAGGACCCAAGGGAGUCCUCCCUUCGCGGAGACCUAUGAAGAUCAUACGAAUGUGACACAGAAGCUAUUGAGUUGGUUGUGACUACUCAAGUACCCAGCUCAAUGCAACAAGUCUUCACUGCUUCAAAGAAACUCUCCCCGACGGAACUCGAAACUCCAGAGAACAAGUCAGGGGCCACCAGGGUCAAGCCGGCAAGCCACGUAGACUUCAAAGCCAUAGACCUUGAGACCGGCAACACCUCCAAGAUAACACUGAUUGGUACAUGGCUAGAUGCUAAAUAGGAAAGCGCGCUUGUUAGCUUCCUUCGGGUCAAUCGGGAUAUUUUCGCAUGGAAACCGAUAGAUAUGCCAGGUGUUCCUAAGGAAUUGAUCGAGCACUCACUCAAUGUAGACCCCAAGGCUACCCCAAAAAGACAACGACUACGAAGAUUCGCCCAGGACAGGUGAGAAGCCAUCAAGAAAGAGCUAGCAAAACUACUCGUGGCAGGCUUCAUAAAGGAAGUCUUCCAUUCUGAAUGGCUCACCAACCCAGUCCUGGUCCGUAAGAACAACAACAAUGAGUGGAGGAUGUGAGUCGAUUACACGGACCUCAACAAACACUGCCCAAAGGAUCCCAUCAGGCUCUCAAGGAUUGAUCAAGUUGUCAAUUCUACAGCUGGAUACGCUCUACUCUGUUUCCUAGAUUGCUACUCGGAAUAUCACCAGAUAGCUCUCAAGGAAGAAGACCAAGCCAAGACUGUGUUCAUCACCCCUUACAAAGCUUUUUGUUACACGAUGAUGUCCUUCAGGCUGAAGAAUGUAGGCGCCACCUAUCAACGCGUGAUCCAGAUGUGCUUCGAGAAACAACUACACCGCAACGUGGAGGUGUAUGUGGACGACGUGGUAGUAAAAACUAGAAAUCCAGAUGACCUCAUUGCUGACUUGGAAGAAACCUUCACUAGUCUGCGAACGUUCCGGUGGAAACUCAACCCAAUAAAGUACGUCUUUGGCGUACCGUCUAGAAAACUACUCGGGUUGAUCAUUAGCCAUAGAGGCAUUGAAGCAAAUCCCGAGAAAAUCCACCAUCAACAAUAUGCAAGCACCGUCCGGUAUCAAGGACAUACAGAAGAUGACAGGAUGCAUGGCGGCCCUCAAUAGAUCCAUUUCAAGACUUGGAGAAUGGAGCCUCCCCUUCUUCAAACUAGUCAAGCGGCAAGACAAGUUCCAAUGGAUCGAGGAGGCGGAUAAAGCUUUGCUGCAGUUGAAGGAUUCCCUAUCAAAACCACCGAUCCUCACAGCAUCAACCCCGAACAAAGACUUGAUGCUAUACAUUGCCGCAACUACUCAUGUCGUAAGCACGACAAUAGUAGUCGAGAGGUCUGAACCAGACCACGUAUACAAAGUUCAAAGACCAGUCUACUUCGUCAGUGAAGUACUCUCAGAUUCCAAGACCCGGUACCCACCGGUGCAGAAAUUGUUGUACGCCAUACUACUCACAUCGUGGAAACUACUGCAUUACUUCCAGGAACACAAGAUCUCAGUCAUCACUGACUUCCUCCUGGGUGAAAUCCUCCAUAAUCAAGAUGCCAUAGGAAGAAUCUCGAAAUGGACAGUAGAACUCAGAGUGGUGUCCUUGGAAUUCAAGCCAAGAACAACAAUCAAAUCCCAAGCUCUAGUUGAUUUCAUGGCAGAGUGGUGGGAAAAUCAAUUGCUAACACUAGCAGAAUGCGCGGAGCAUUGGAUCAUGUACUUUGACGGAUCACUCAAGCUUGAAGGUGCUGGCGCAGGAGUACUCUUGAUAUCCCUAAAAGGUGAGCAACUCAAAUAUGUUCUACAGAUCUUUUGGGAAGUAUCCAACAACGAAGCCGAGUACGAAGGGCUACUAUCGGGCUAUGCCUGGUAGUAUCCAUGGGCAUCAAAAGAUUACUGGUCUACGGUGACUCGCUAGUAGUCAUCAAUCAAGUCAAUGAUGAGUGGGAUCGCAAUAAGGAAAAUAUGGAUGCAUACUGCAAAGAAGUCCGCAAGCUAGAAAAUAAAUUCCCAGUCUUAGAGUUUCACCACGUAGUCCGCGACAACAAUGUCGCCGCGGAUGUCUUGUCCAAGAUGGGUUCAACACGCGCUCAGGUCCCAGCAGGAGUCUUCGUCCAUGAACUCCACAAGCCAUCCAUGAGCAGGCACCUUCAACAACCACCGAUCGCGGUCCUGUAGAACCAGACCGGGAGGUUAUGAUGAUUGAUGUGGAUUGGAGAGCUCCAUUUAUCGACUACAUAAGAGAGCAUAAACUACCCUCAGACAAGAUGCAGGUAGAACAAAUCUUAUGACAAAGCAAGAACUACGUUCUAGUCGGAGGCAAACUUUAUAGAAGAGGCGCAUCUUCAGAAGUGCUUAUGAAGUGUGUCACACGAGAAGAUGGCAAGGACAUAUUGGAGGAAAUACAUAAAGGAAUCUGCGGCAACCACACAUCCUUGUGCACGAUCGUGGGAAAGGCAUUCAGAGCAGCAUUCUAUUGGACAACUGCUGUAGCAGAUGCUGAGGACCUAGUCCGCCGAUGCUAGGAUUGUCAGUUCUUCGCCAAGCAGCAAUAUGUUCCUACCUAAAAACUUAUCACCAUACCUCCAACAUGGCCUUUCGCAUGCUGGGGGCUUGAUAUGAUUGGACCACUACCAACGGCACCUGGAGGAUUCAAUCGAGUACUGGUGGCAAUCGACAAGUUCACAAAGUGGAUAGAAGUGAAGCCAGUAACCUGCCCCAAGGCAGACGGAGUACUCGACUUCCUCGAUGAGAUCGUCCACCGCUAUGGAUUCCCAAACCGGAUCAUCAUAGACUUGGGUUCCAAUUUCAAAAACCACGAGUUCUAGGAGUACUGCGAAAAUAGCAGGAUCGACGUCUGUUACAUCUCUGUUGCUCAUCCAAGAGCCAAUGGCCAGGUGGAGAGUGCCAAUGGCCAGGUGGAGCGCGCCAAUAGGGUGUUGUUGGAAUCUCUGAAGAAAAGUUUGCACGAUAUUGGCAGCACCAAAAGGGAGGCAAGGGGCUCAAGGAACUACCCAACAUUCUCUGAGGGCUACGUACUCAACCGUGCAAGCCUAUGGGGCAGUCACCCUACUUUCUGAUUUACGGAUCAGAAGCCAUACUCCCUGUCGACGUCAUGUGGAAGUCCCCCAUAGUUGAACAAUAUGACGAAGGGGCAGUAGAGGAAACCAGGCAUCUAGAUAUAGAGAGCCUAGAAGAAUCACGCUGCGCAGUACUCGUCCAGUCCGCAAGAUACCUUGAAGGACUCCACCGCUACCAUGAUCGUAAUGUCAAAUAGCGUUCUUUCAGCAUAGGUGAUAUGGUCCUUAAGUGUAUUCAGGACAGCAAGGGGCUGUACAACCUCAAUUCGCCGUGGGAAGGGCCUUACAUUGUAUCCAAGGUCACAGGCCCAGGAUCGUAUAGGCUACAACAUCUCUCCAGCGAAGACGUUGAGAACUUGUGGAACAUCGAGCAUCUUUGUCAUUUCUAUCCGUAGUCAGUAGACUACAGGGCAUUUUAAAUAGGCCACUGGUCAACAACUUCAGUAUUUAGGCAUAUUAAUGCAAUUAUUUUUUUGACGACAUCUGACUACUUGUCCUCGCCUUAAUCGCGGCUCGCAAAAGCAGGUCAGUAAUAAUUUAUGAGCUAUUUAGCUCUUUGGGCCACAAUGCCCCCCAGUACGACUUGUAAUUACAAGUCCACAUGAGUUAUUGAACUCACUCAGCAGUUCGCUAAAGUGGGCUAGCAGCGCAAAAAGCCACCAAGUCGACAAAAGAUUAAAACGACUACUCAUCUCGACUAAUUAUCUUAUAAAUGCAUUUUUCGUAUUAGUGAAAUUUUGCAGGAUACAUCAAUGCCUCCGUCUCAAGAAGCUGGGGCAACAAGCAUACAACAAAAGUACUCAAUAAUGACUAUAAGUAAACUACCUAUCAUCAGUUACAACAGAAGUCCCACGCUUUUACAAUAUCAUGCAAAGCAUAUGUGGAUAGCCUCAGGACUACUCUACACCAUGGAGCAAGAAGCGUUGAGGCGCGGGGAAGAGAAACAAGUGCACGCAAGAAAGCUGCGCUCAUGGUACCACACCAUAGUCCUCGACCAGCAACGAGUUGGACAAAGACUGGGACACACGGUGCUCUCUCCCAGUUAGCUCCUUCGUCCUUUCAUCCAGUGAACUGGAUACAAACCGGGGCACACGGUGCUUCCUCGUACGAGGAUUCUUCUAGCAUCAUGGCCAUCGGACUUGGCUAGAGGAUCUGUCGAGGGAAUGUGAAAACCCCUUACAAGAAAUCUUCUAGCACCGGGAGACUCAUUGGAGGAUCAUCAGUAGCAAAGAGCAAAAGCCUCAAGCCAACCAUCGCUAUAACUCGAGCCAUGAGUUCCCGAAGGUAGAAAUGGCUCUAUUUAUAGCCAAAACAUCAAGCUACCGUCCAAGAAGUGCUACACUACGCACCCGUGACUACACAGGGAAAAGCCUGCCCGACUACCAGAUGCUGGCACAAUACUCACGUGAAGACCUUAUCGUCUGAGAUCUGAAGCCAGCCUCCCAUGUGGCCUGUCCUGUUCACAACAAGACAAGGCUAACCAGUACUUCCGUGCAUCCCCUCUCUGACAAUGUGUCAAUUACAUAGAAACAAUGAGGAGGAAAACUUUACUGCAAGGACCGUGGGAGAAACUACUCAAUGCUACUCCAUAAUUGAGUAAAGAGGCACCGCACAACAAUAAGUCUGGGCGCGGACAUUUUACUAAAGACAAUCAAGACAACGACUGAUAAGCACUAAGAGUACUACAGAUUCACAAGUUAAAAGCAUAGAAGAUAAUAUUAAAAGGCCUUCAGUUAUUUGUACAAGCCACAAGUUCAAAGCCUAUUACACACAGGGAAAGUUCAAGACUACUAGAGGUUCAGGAACUUGGCUACUUCCUCAGCGAUGGGGUCCAUCUCCUCCAUAUACUGCUGAAAAACUUCGUCGGUGUAGUCCCCAGUGAUACCCUUCGCAACAUGAGAAAGGUCAGCCUUGGGGUAGAAGGACUUCAUGAAGCUUAACAGCUAUUUGGACACAGACUUCGCCAUGCUUUGGACAUAGCCGGUGAUCUUCGACGGUGCAUCCUGGAUCCUCUCUAGCAACGGUCGGGGCUCCACACCUUCAGUAGGGGCUCCACCAUAUCUGCCAAGGGUUGUGCCACAUUCGACCACUUUUGGAGUUCAUCUUGCUGCACCUUGAUAGUAGUCAUAGCCUCAACGAGGCUAACUUCACCAUCCCGGUGCAUCUUGGAUUCUUUCUCUAGGUCGUUUUCCAUCUUCUCCACUUGACGCGUGAGCUCCUCACGCUGCUCCGUCAGCUGACAGAAAGCAUUCUUCCAAUCGAUGAUAGAGUUCUUCAGUACGGUCUCCUAGCGUUUAUACUCUGCAAAAGAGCAAUAAGAAGUCAAGAGACAGACUACAGACUAUAGACAAGUGAAGGCCGCAGAUACGAGUACUCACCUUCAACCUUGUGGUACAAACACUUGUUCUGGGCAACAAGGCGGUCUCUCUCACCCUAAAACUCUCGCCUCUCCACCUGGAACGACACCAUGGCACUAUCAAAUUUCAUCAGGAACUGAGAGGUCUACUGUCACUCUUUAGCAAGCUGUAUCUCCAACAGUUCAACCCGACACGCAGCUUCACCAUGCUCCCGUAGAAGUCGAGCAUUACGGCGAGAAUCCUCAAACAGGUCCUGAGUGCUAGAAAAUUAGUACUCGAAGAUGUGCAAACAACAUCCGCCAUCAACAAAGAUAAAAUAGUACAGGAGCCAAGCUCAGAACUCACCUUGGUAUAUGCCGCAAUGCGUUGAUUCAUCUCCAAAAUGGAAGCCAUGGUCUGUGAUCUAGUAGGGGGCUCUCGAAGGCCUGGAUUUCCUUUGGUGGCAUCAGAUUGUUUGCAUCCGAUUGACUCGUUGUGCCAGGCACCAAGACUAGCUCAUGACCUGAUGACGUCCCUACCUCAGACGAUGCCCCGGCAGCUACAGCAACAGCCUCAAGAACAUGAGCAGCCUCGAGCUCGGGGGCUCCAGAACCCGUAGCGACAAGAGGUACCGCGUCCAUGACGUCUGGUGCAGGCGGAUCUUCAACAGGUGCAGCUUUGGGGAGCGAUCUAGGUGCAAUAGUCUCGGGAGUUGGCAGCAUUACGUCCUUCAGGGAGCUAAUGACAUCGCGCAUUAGUGCAACAGCAAAAGACGUAUCGCCAGCCUCUAGCGCCAGUGUUGGGGCUUCCUCCCUUGGAACUACGGCAGGAGUGGGCGCUGGGUUUUCAGUUGAGCGGCCCAUGCCAUCAGCUGCAAAUCUAGAGCUCGUUGCACCAAGGUCAACAUUCAAGGAGGUCCUGCACAGGAUGUAGUAUAAGUGGCUAAAAGCAACUACUUGAGACAAAAUUGGUACUCAAAAAACAAUUAGAGUAUUCACCUGCUGGAUCAUCACAGGACUAGAGAAGGAUUCCCCACCAAGCGCAUUGGUUGGAUGGUGGGGGCUGACAAGCUUGAUGGGGCAGAUGGUGGCAUUUCCUAACCCCUGCUAGUACUCGCAGGAAUCACUUGAGCAGCCGGGGGCUCGCGGUCACCACUGGCAUUCACGUCUUCCCCGCCAACAGGAACUUCAGGCGGAAUGGUGUCAGUAGCCGUCUCCGACGUCCCGGCUGCGGCGUCGGUAGCCGUCUCCGACGCCCCGACUACAUCAUCAGCGGUUGUCUCCGUCGUACCGACUACAUUGUUGGUGGUCAUCUCCGUCGUACUGACUACGUCGUCGGUGGCCGCCUCCAUCAUCUCGACUACGUCAUCAGUAGCCUGCAGCAGAAGGAAAUCAAGAUUAGUAGUUAUGUUUCCACCAAAUAAGUAUAACAACACCCGUACCUCAAGAUCUUGCCCUUCCUCGAAGGUUAUUACCGGUGGGGGUGCUCCAUCGACGAUGCGAAGAUCACGCCGGACACGCCUCUUGCGCACGCAAGUUCGUUGCCUCCUCGGCGGUGGAGCCAAGUCAGCAUCAAGAUCAGUUUUAGCAGGAUGCUUUGAUGCCCUAGAGGAUGCUCCGGCCUGAUCGGAGGUACGCUGGUGCAAUACAAAACCCCCGGCAGCGUUAGAGUCAGAACUGCUGAAGGACUCGGAUCUCUUCAUCCUCCUCCUCCUCAUCCUUCGAGGGCUCCCCCGGCAACUGUGGCCAAAGUAGUCGCCGCGCAUCUUUAGUAUCAUCAGCCUCAGGGGGAGGAGGUGAAAAGAACACGAGUACGUCUUCCUGCAUAAGAGGAAAUAAGUUGGCAACACAGAAUCAAUAGCAAAUUGGUACACGCACGGGGGCUGUUGCCACGGGAACUUACCUCUCUCGGUUUGUUGGAGUGGUUGAAUUCAUCGACUACGCCGGGGAGGCCAUUGACAUCUUUGAACAUCCAGCUAAGACACACCAUUAUCUCAUCAUCAGAAAUAUCCUCAGACGACAUCCUUGAUGGAUCAUUAAGACCCGAGUACUCAAAACCCCAAGUCUGAUGAAGCUGCAGGGGCUGUACUCGUCACUUCAAGAAACUAGCAACCACGACAACGCCUGUCAAUCCUUUCUUCUUUAGGUCAUCAAUCCUGGCCAGCAUCUUGGGUACUUGUAUACUCUCCAUGGUCGUCAAUUCAUCGAGCCACCAGCUAUUGUACCUCGGAUGGUGACCAGUGACGUUGGGAAAAUGCGGUUCGUGAUCUUCAAUAUAGAACCACUUCUCUUUCCAUCCGGGGUGCGACAAUAAGAUUGUACUCUAAGUACACAUCAGAGCUCGUCUCCCGGAUUUGGAUGCCUGCACUGCCGAUCACUUGCAUAUUCUCCCUGUUGGGCUGCGGCUUCACACGAAUUUUUUUUUAGAAUAGAUUGAAGUGGGGCUGAAUCCCUAGAAAAGCCUCACACAAAUGCACAAAGAUGGCAAUGUGCAGAAUGCACAAAGAUUUUGACCCUCAGCCUGAUUCUAUGAUUUGAACUAAGGCUCGGGGGCUACUUCAUAUGGAGUGUGACUUUCACCGCCCUCCAUACAUGAAGACUACAAUAUCGUGUUGAUCAAGACUUUGAGCACACCAUAGCCUCAUGGCAGCUUUGAGAAGCAUUGAAAGAUUCAGCCUGACAAAGUACUCGAAGAGCACCAAGACUACUCGGCGAAUAUCUCAAAACUACUCGAAGACUGCUGCAUUCAACUAUGAAGCACUCGGGGGCUUGUCAGGGAUACAUCCCCAUUACCCGCAAGGAAGGAAGAAGUCAGACUCCUACUAGGAUUCCCCUAUAAUCCUACUAGGACUCAUCCCGUGUAAUCCUACUAGGAGUUCUCCUUGUAAUCCGACUAGUACUUUGCCCCCUGGAGUAUAUAAAGAAGGGUAGGGGUACCUAGCUCGGCAGGUCACACCUCAACACCCAAGCGCAGGGCGCAAUAUACAAACACCCCUAAACAGGACAUAGGGUAUUACGCUACACUAGCGGCCCGAACCUGUCUAAAUCCAUGUCUCAUGUCCUGGCUUUUACCUUCAAGUUCCAGGUCCGGCGAACCCCCGCUACACAUUCUGCUACCUCAGGUACCCCUUGGUAGUCGGUCGGUAUAAAACACCGACAUUGGCAACCACUGUGGGGCAGAUCAUCGAGAUCAUCGGGCGAGCUUGAAGGACCUCAUCUUCAAGCCGGCGUUCGCUUUCAAAGUGGGCGCAACCUUCAUCUUCCACUCCUAACUUUGCAUCACCGACGACACUGGGUCCUUCCAAUGCUGCAUCAUCGACAACCAGGAGAAGAAGCGCCUCGACGGGAACUCUCUUCCAUAAGAAGCAGAAAAUCUCGUCGAGAAAAUCAAAAAUUAAACCUCGGAUCAAGGUUCGACUACAAACUCGUACUCCGACAGCGACUUCGGGUUCGAUCGUGAUUCAAACUCGAACUCCGACAGCGGCUACGGGUCCGACCACGACUUGAACUCAGAGUCCGACGGCGACUCCGGGUCUGGCUACAACACGGAGUCCGACGGUGACUCCGGGUCCGACUACAACUCGGAGUCCGAUGGUGAUUCUGGGUCUGGCUACGACUCCGAGUCCGACGACGACUCCAGGUUCGACCGCAACGCAGAGUCCGACGGCAACGACUUCGACUACUCUCCUUGACUACUCCGCUCGGCAACACACUGACCGCUACUUCAUCAUGACGCUCGUCGACGACUUCUCCGAGUACGUCGCGAUGCUCGCCGACUACUACAGGCGGCUAGCCAAUGACUACUCCGACCACAUCGCAACGCUCGUUGACGACUACUUCUAAUACUCGUCUCGACUAAAAGGCUAGUCGAGGGUGGACUACUCCAACUCCUCGUCUCGACUAAAAAAUUAGUCGGGGCAAACUUCGCAUCAUCGACAACUAGUCAGAAUUGCCUCCGACUAGUCGACUUCGUCAACAACCGUUACGGCUUCAUCAACGACCAUCAUGGCUUCGUCAACAAUCAUCCACGAAUCAAGCUAAGUCACUUUUCUAAAUUAUUUUUCGGUUUAUUUUCCGUUUGCGCGCAACACGCGCUCUACUUGCCGGAGGGUAGCAAACUCUUGCGCACAAUGCGCGCUCUACUCGCCGGAGAUCAGUAAACUCUUGCGCAAUCGCGCAGUCUCUUUCUUGUCACAGCAGCGACUACUCUCACUUUUGUCUUCUCUUAAGGUCACUACUCUUCUCGAGCAGAACACGCCUUAACUCGUGAAAGCCUUAGGCGCAUUUGUCAGACCUAAGCCCAUACGCGUAUACAAGACAAAGGUCUCACACACGCAGUGGCAACGGCUACCCGGAGACUAAGAGUCUAAGCGUAACAGGCUAACUACUCGGGAAGAGUAUGACUGAAACAAGAGCUUGACUCGCAACUUCAUAUUGAUCACUGAAUAAAUUUCAACAAUUUCAAUAUCCUACAAAUAUGCUACAUAAUGUACGCAUCUUUUCUUUCAGGUCAAGCUUUGGCGAUGACGCUCGUCGUGACACCAAGCGUGCCUCCAGAGGCACAGACUAGUUCCCGAACUCGGGGGCUAAGCACCAACCACUACUUAGAAUAUCUCCAGUGGCUCAGCUAGCUCCCAAGCUCGGGGGCUGAACGCUGCAAAGCUACUUGACGUGGCUCCUAUGAUUCACCUGGCGCAUAAGCUCAGGGGCUGGACGUCGCAAGACUACUUGGAUGAUGACUUCCAUGAAGAUUCAAGACCCUCGGGUUGAUUAUUCAAUCAAUCCAAGGCUCGGGGGCUGAUAAGCUACACCCAACAAUCGAUUUUUUCAAGUCGAAAGAGGAAGAUUCAAGAUUUUGACCAUCAGCCUGAUUCUACGAUUCAACCUAAGACUCAGGGGCUACUCCAUAUGGAGUGCGACUUUCGCCGCCCUCCAUACAUGAAGACUACAAUAUCGUGUUGAUCAAGACUUUGAGCACACCAUAGCCUCAUGGCAGCUUUGAGAAGCAUUGAAAGAUUCAGCCUGACAAAGUACUCGAAGAGCACCAAGACUACUCGGCGAAUAUCUCAAGACUACUCGAAGACUGCUGCAUUCGACUAUGAAGCACUCGGGAGCUUGUCGAGGAUACAUCCCCAGUACCCGCAAGGAAGGAAGAAGUCAGACUCCUACUAGGAUUCCCCUGUAAUCCUACUAGGACUCAUCCCGUGUAAUCCUACUAGGAGUCCUCCUUGUAAUCCGACUAGUACUCUGCCCCCUAGAGUAUAUAAAGGAGGGCAGGGGUACCUAGCUCGGCAAGUCACACCUCAACACCCAAGCGCAGGGCGCGAUAUACAAACACCCCUAAACAGGACGUAGGGUAUUACACUACUCUAGCGGCCCGAACCUAUCUAAAUCCAUGUCUCGUGUCCUCACUUUUACCUUCAAGUUCCAGGUCCGGCGAUCCCCGCUACACAUUCUGCUACCUCAGGUAGAUAUCUCCAAGGCACAAUAGAUCUCAGCUUAUUUUAUAAAUUUGGCCAAGACAAAACUAUGAUUGGAUAUACAUAUGCUGGCUAUUUAUUUGAUCCUCAUAAUGCCAGAUCUCAAACAAGCUUUGUAUUUUUACAUGGUGGAAUGGUUAUAUCGUGAAAGUCAUCAAAAUAGACUCUUGUAGUCACAUCCACAAAUCAUUCUAAAAUAAUUUCAUUAUUUGAAGCUUCACAUGAAUGCGUAUGGCUUCAUAGAAUGAUUAAUUACACACAACAGUCAUGUGGUAUAGGUUCGAUCAUGAACCCUAUAAUUAUCUAUGAAGAUAAAUUUGCUUGUAUUGCAUAAUAAAUACAAGUUAUAUAAAGAGCAAUAUUACAAAACACAUUGCUCCUAAAUUAUUCUAUCCUCACGAAUUACAAAAAAAUGGUGAGGUAGAAAUCUUGCAAACCAAAUCAUGUGAUAAUCUUGCAGAUUUAUUCACACAGUCCUUACCAUCAUCAUUAUUCAAGAAAUAUGUUUUUGAAUAGGUAUGAGAUGACUAAAAGAUUUGCAAGCAUCAGGGGGAGUCAUUCCUUGAUAUAACGAAUACAUAAUCUUCUGAUUAUGAAUAUUGCACUCUUUUCCUAAUGAGUUUUUCCUAUCAAGGUCUUCAUAUAUAUAGGUUGUUGACGGCAGUUAGCACACCAAUUUGUGAACCGCAAGUACACGGAUCAUCGUAGCUUUUCCCUUUGAGUAUUCCAUCCAAGGUUUAUCAAUCCAUGGAUUGGCAGCGAACUAACUAGGGUUCUCUAUAUAGCAAAAUGGAUCUAAUUCUAUCAUGAAGCUUGCAUUGCAUAUAAAGGUAAACCCAAUCGUGAGAUAAGAAUUAUAGACAUGGUCAACAUAUCACAUCCAUAUAUAUGAGGUAACACAACCAAAGGUAGCAUGAGCCUAUUGUCUUCUUGUUGUAGUUUCAGCCAAAGUGGUAACCAAUCUAUGUAGCACCUUGGUAAAGAGUCAUCUCUCAGAAAGGUGGCUCACAAGCGGCCUACUUUCUUACUCAACAUUACGCAAUCGUUAGGCCUUUUCCCUUCCACAUACUGUCACCACGCAAAGGUAAUCACAUCAACUUCCUAUGCACUACUAAGAUGUAUUCACAAGACAUAGACUAACCACCAUAAUUACAUCUAUUCUUACUAAGAAUAUAUGCUAGCUAAACAUAUGAGAACAAGCAUGCAUCAUAGUAGAUCAAAGUAAGAACAAUAUUAGAUUGAUAUCACCAUCGUGUAUACAUAAGCCUUGAUUGCCUUGAUUAUCACAAGGCUUGGCUCCAGAACUCCACCAUGGCUUUGCCGUGGAGGGACGACCAUAGCGCCUAGGGUCUAGCCUAAGCCAUCUCCUAGACAACCUCGAAGACCUGAAGUGGCCCUCAGUUCCCUCUGGUGUGUGUCCCUCUAUUCAUCGAGUUUUGGUGGAUGGAUCUGCGUGCUCAAUGAAAUAUUGGGGUAUUUAUAGUCUGAAGAUCACGUGGCAGAAAUUGGAAGGGGAGAGGAGCAAGAAAAGCCCCAGGCCAAUCAGCCUGGGGGGGGGGGGGUUCCAGGCCGAUCAACCUAGCCCUUCAUUGUGACCUCUCGUGCCCUCCUUUGUCCCCUAGUCUUCUUAGGUGUCCUAGAGUCUUAUUUUUACUUGCAUGUGGGCCUAGCACAUCGAUAGCUUCGGGAUAAGAUUGAUCUUCGAUAAAAUUUCCAAAUCUUCACUUGAUCCUCUUUGAUCCCGAACUCAUCUUGCCAUAUCCUUGCAAACUUAGCCCUUAAGUAAUCUUGGAGGAGUGCCUUCCAAAAAUGAGCAUCAGAGGAGCCUAGAGGACCCUAGGUCGAUUGGCCUGGGCCUCCAUAGGCCGAUCGGCCUAGGCCCUUUUUGGGCCCAUUGGCCUUCGUCUUUCUUUGGUUCAUCGCUUGUUUUGAGCUUUAUCCAUUUAUGCUCCAUUUAGUCCAAUUUCCUGCAAAAACACAAUAUGCUCCAAAAUACAUUGCAUAUGCAAAAAUGGGGUUACUUUAGGUGAAGUGGUAGGUUAGUAUAAGAAUAUGUAUGAAACACCACUUAAAUAGCACUAAAAGUGUGUCAAUAACGAGCAUCAAAAAUCUUCCCAUGUUUAAUUAAGAAAUCAGCAUUGCCUUGCACUCAGUUAUACAUAACAAGACAUAUUACUCUCUCAAGUAUUUAGCAUUUUAAGUUCAAGCUGUGACCGGCUACUUUUCAUCAUGGAAGAUAGACUAGCAAUAAAGAACAUGCCACAAUAAAAAUAAAUACGAUGCUCUUGAACUUAAGUGAACUUCAGACUUUUACCUUGUUCCAUCAUGAAGAGUUUUUCAAAAAAGAUGCAAAUCCAACAUAAGUGAAAUUCUCUUGCAAAAGUUCAUGGAAACACUCAUCUCAUCAAGUCACUCAAGCCUAUACUAGAUUAUUUUCAACCUACUCUACUCAUAUAUGAGAGUGGAAGGCUUAUGUGGAGCUUGGUAGAUAGAUACAAUCCUAGCAAAAUAUUAUAUCUGAAAUAUUGUCAAACUAAGAAAGAGAUCUAUUGGGAUUACUGAGACUUAUCAAAAAGGCCAUGGAAAAUAAAUGUUGGAGAGGGAGAGGGAUGAAACACACACAUUUAGAUAAGUGGACAUUUGCAAGUGGCAAAAGGGUGAUUGCGAGACACAAGUGAAGUUCUCGUAAUCGGAUUGCAUAUGGUAAUCUUGAGAGCACUGGGAACUUUAAUGAGGCUCAAAGAACUGAGGAACAUUUUAUUCUUUUUCUCCUUUAUAUAUUUUUUCUUUUUCAUUCCUUUUUCACUUCUUUCUUCUUUCUUUCUUUUUCCUCAUUUUUUUUCUUUUUUGCUCCUCAAAACUUCUUGCAACAUAAUACUUUACUCAGCAGUAGUUAGAGAUAAUGCGAUAACUCCACCCCACGCUUAGAUGAUGCUCAUCCUUGAGCACGAAAAGGAAGAAAGAUAAACUAUUGAUGUAAGUACCAAAAUCUUUGAUCUUAUGCAAAAAAUUAUUUUAUUCCUGUGAAGGGACUUCUAGGCCAAAUUUCAGAGGGAAUAGAGGGGGAACACCUUAGGCCGAUCCACCUGAGGGUGUCCAGGCCGAUGGGCCUGGCCCCUUCUGGCCUCUGUUUUCUUUGCUUUUUAUUUUGUGUACUGGUCGAUGCCUCCAGGUCUUGAUUUUCUUGAAAAGACACUGAUUAAUCUUCUAAACCUUUGUCAAAAUAUUUUUUUCAUACUCAAUAAUAGGUUGUGGUCAAUAAGGUAAUCACAAAAAUGAUAAUUUGGGUUUAGGUUGGACGCCCAGUGAAGUUUAUGAAAUUUUUAGUGUAGAAACUCACAAUGCAUGGAUAGAAAGGCUAGCAAGAAAAAAGGUUUACACAAAGGAGUGACCAGCUUCUAAGUCUCAAACCACAUAAAUCAAUCUUAAUCCAACUCAUCAAAAUAUAAGUUUGCAAUUUAAAGGUUUCAUCAUGAAAAAUCAUGCAUAUAUAUAUAUAGACUCUGGUAGGUAGAGCUUUGCAAGAGAUUCACAAAUGUAGAUAGCGUAUGAAUUAAUUAAAUAAAAAUAAUUCAAGUUAUCAAGUUAUCAGAAAACUUUAAUCAAAGAGCAACAUAGAGUUUGUGGGUCUAGAAUUUAGUCAUUUAACCUACACAAUUAAAAGAGCCAGCAUUUAAUCAAUUUAGGUUCAUUAAAAACAGAGCAAUUAGUCAAGUUAUAUACAACAUUGUGUAAGUAAACAAAACGGCAACCUUCAUCAUUUUUCCAUAAGCAAGAUUAUACCAAAACUAUUAAAAUCAUGGUGAGCACAAAGUGAUGGCGAUCAUGAUUUAUUGAAAUAAAACUAGGUUGUGCUCCUAGUAGCCAUGUUAUUAUAAGGAGAGAUAUACAAAAGUUGCAUCGAGUCUAUGGUUGAAGGCUUAUAUACAUAAGCAUUUUUAGAAAGAGAUGGACAAAGAGAAGGUUGAGGAAAAAUUUACCAUCCUUUCGAUGUUUGCAAUGAAUUGUAGUAUAGCCUACCCCAUGCUGAAGCAUUGUGCUUAGCAUGGAAGAAGAAAAAUGAGAAUCUUCUGAUGACCAUGAUCCUUGUGUUCCAUAUAUCAAUUUUAUCUUUGUCCGCCAAAUUCUGCCCCAUGCUUAGCAUUGUGCUAGGCAUGGAAUAAGAAGAUGAAACAUUUUAUGAUUGUUGAAAUCCUUGUGCUCCACGUCCGAAGCUUGUCUUUAUGCUUCUUCACUUUUGUCGCCUUUAUUUUCUUUCAAUUUCUUCUCUUUUCCUUUCAUGAAAGUACUUCCCAUGCUUGCAAAAUAAUUCAAGUGCACAAACUACCCCCGAGGUGACUGUCGGAGUAGAAGCAAUCGCUAACAAAUCAACAACACCCCUAAGAUUUUAACUUGUGGCAUAGCUAAUCUAGUAAAAUAAAAACAAAAACCUAAUGAAUGUAAUGUGAGUGCAAGUGUGAAUGUAAAUGAUAGGUAGGAUCAUAAACAAAGAUAAUGUUUGCACCAAGUUCUAAGCACCAUGCUUACAACUAGGUUCCUAAAAUUCUCCAUAGCCAUAAAAAAUUAUUAAUCAAGGUCAAACACCAUGCUUAUCCCAAGACCAAUAACUCUUUCCAGCACAAGAAAAAAA
rnacentral:lncRNA from 1 species